CAAUUGGGAUGUAGAACAAACAGGAAUGUGGUGAAUGUGGAUGCCAUCCAACUAUUUAGAUAUACCUAUCGCUGGCUGGAUAGAGAAAAUGUUCCCUGGGUGGGAUGGAUUAAGGUGUCAGCUCUUUCCUUCUUUAUUUGAUUAAUCUCGUAUGCCUUUACGGUGUGUAUGCCUUUUAUGGUGUGUAUGCCUUUACGGGAGCUCCCCCUAUCCAUAUUUUCUAUAUCUUGAUUUACGCCCUAUAACAUUUAUUAUCACAAGGGACAGCCAGAUUAGAUCUCCAGAGGUUUACGUGCUUACCCCAGAGGGAAAAGAGAGACAGCUCGACUACCUAUUUCUCUUUUAGAAUACCCUACCCAAACUCUUUCAGUAAAACGCAAUCAUGUAGCUCUCGGAGGUCUAAUUCUUUAGCACGCACGACAUGGUACGCCUGGAUCCGUGUAACAAUCUAGCUUCCUUGAGCCCAAGUUUCAUUAUUGGAGGAGUUUCUUUCUCUAAGUUUCAUUAUUGGAGGAGUUCUUUCUCUAAGUUUCAUUAUUGGCCAUUAUAUCUUUUUGCUGUCUACUGCCCACCCUUUCUUCAUUGAACUACAAGUGUCAAUCCCAAUGUGAAGAAUCCGCUCUGCUCCUGUUUGUUCUGUCUAGUCUACUGCUCUUCAUUGAACUACAAGUGUCAAUCCCAUCCCAAUGUGAAGGUAGAUCUGUAGAAGAAACCCAACUAAAUGAGAUCUUAUCCUUAUAUAAUAUAGGAAACAGGAACCUUUGUUUUGUAGGAUAGGAUUGAAGCCAGCAGCUGACCUUGUCGACCCUAUGGCUUCUAUAUGUCUCUUUCGAGUACCCAUCUUAUAGUAUACCUCAUUUGGAAUACCUAAGGUAAGGGAAGUCGGCUUGUUUACUAAUCCUCUUUACUUGGCCCUAUCCCAAUGGAACAUGUAGGAGUACUAAGACCUAUUGUUUGUUACCCUUUUUCAUAAGCAAAAUACAGAAAAAUUGACCAUCCAUCUUUCUAACUAUCUAUCAGACGGAUACCCCUAUUUCCUAUUCUAUUUGAUCUAAGCCUUACUUACUGUUUGAUUUGUGAAAGAAUGGGGAGACACCAUCACCAGUAUUACAUACAUUCUUUUUUCGUAAUCCCCUUAUGUCCUACACUGGCAAAGACAUGUUUUUAGUUUCUUCAACUUGGACUUUGACUCUUUAUUCAAUAAGAGCCCCGACCUACUAUCCGGAUUGCAUGUUUGAGUACUCAAAGACUCCCGUGAAUCUGUAUACAAAAAGUACCUUCAUUCAGUGCUUUCCACUACUUAUAAAGAAGAGAUUUCCCAUCUGGCCCCUACGCAAUCGAAUUCCAGACAGAGUCAGUAGACACAACGGUGGUAAUGUAUGUCAUAGAUUCCAAAUAUUAUAUAUGGAUUGAGAGUCUUUCUUUCGUACAAUAUCCUUAAUCUCUUCCUCAAUCCUAGUAGCAAAUAAGGAGUUGACUUUAGGAACCCUUUGAUACCAAUCGAACCUCCCUCUUUGACUUUUGUAGUUUUGAAUCCCAGAAUUGACUUUCACUCUUAUAGUUAUGAAAUCACUGUACGAACCCCAAUAAUAAUCAUAUCUAAUUGAGAGUAAGGCUUACUGAAUCCAUAUUGAUUUGCACCGGGCCCCCGUUGUUAGAGAAAGAUAUUGACUUUAUAGCAUAAGAACUCAAGAUUCUCAAAAGCAAGUAUUGAUAGGCCCCUUUCUUUGCCUUUCCUUCUCCGGGGACAGAAUUAGUCGAGUGAAAUCAGCAGAAUAAGCCAAGGUUUUUGUUGAUCAGGCGACACCCGAACACUGGGGAUAAAGGAUUUGCAGUCCCCCGCCCCUUACCACUUGGCCAUGUCACCAAACCCAAUUCUAUUCAAUAAAUGGAUUUGGAGUGAAAGACUUCAAUAUCCGGGCAGAACCAUUAACUAUUUGUUAUUUGGAAUUAGUGAGAAGGUUUUCUUAGUGUAGCUCAACUUAAUGGCAUAACAAAAGAAAAUGGAUUGAAGACUAAUAAGCGAUAUCAUUUCUUUUCCAUAAUCAAUCUUUUCAAUAGAAUAAACAAUCUUAUAAUUAGACUAAACGAGAAAUAUAGAUUUGUGUGUGUCUAUGUCAACCUCAAGAAAUUGUGAAACGGAACCGCUCUUAUGUACAUAUCCCCUAUUAUAUCCAUCCCUAUGGAGAAUCGUCGUGCCUUAUUAUUUAUUGUUCUGUUCUAUAUGCAAUACAAUAGACUAAUUUGGAAUAAUGAUAUAGUGCGACCUUACUUCUGUUGCCACAAGUUCAAUUACGAGAAAGAUGUGAUAUGCUGCUAGGUAGAUGGGCUCUAUAUUGGCAUGGACUUCAUAAAGAAAGACUACUCUCCUAUUCAAUCAUCAAACUAUAUAUAUUACAUUACUCGCCCAAAUUCUCCUCUUUUAGUUGAACCAUUCCAUUCCAAUAAGUAUGCUCAAAAGGGAAACUCUAUAUUGUUCCUCCUGUCUUUCUUUAUCUCAUUCAUAGAGAAAGAAUCAAUUUCUUACUGAAUCCAUUGAUUUGGAUGGUACCCAAUAAAUCUUAUCGUAAUGCUAGUAAUAUAAUAUGAUGAAUUUGGAUAACCGGUAGAGAUAUGCAAGAACAAAGCCUUUUAUUCCUCUAAGAAAGCCCCUGGUAAACCCUUAGAGUCAAUAGAAUAUAUAGAUAGUAAAUGGAACCUAAAGAAAGAUAGUCAAUGGAAUUCUACAGAUCUCAUUGUGAUCAAUCAAAUAUGGCUCUGGGUAUUUACUACCGUUCCAAAUUAGACCAUAACGGAAUUGCUGUCUUUACAUGCACUAUAGAAUAUCAUAAUUCCUGUCUAUACCAGCACAAUGAUAUCCGAAUUGGACCAUAACGGAAUUGCUGUCUUUACAUGCACUAGAAUAUAAGAUUGGGGAGAAGGAAGAUCAUAAUUCAUAAUUGAUGGAAAAGCAAGGAUAUGGGCCCGUGUGAGUAGGAAACACUCAAUCUCUAUUCUACUUCUAUCAUCAGCUAUGCUAUCUAUGGGGUCGAAUCUAAUAUCCAUUCUAGAGAUUCCAUUUGUGACCCUAAAAUGAGCUUGUAUUUCCCGAAUGAUAAGGAGAAACAAAAGAGAGAAGAUUGGGUCGAAAUGCUUAUAUGCUAUUUGAUCAACAAUUUUCUUGUGUAGGCGGGUUUCCAGUAUAUUUUCUGAGUCCUUUUGAAAAUGAUUACAAAAAAGACAUUUUUCAACAAAGAUGUGCAUUAGGAAGGAUUGGUCUAGAGGAGCUAAUUCAAGACUAACUCGAACGAUUACUCAACCCUUGAAGAGAGAGAGAGCACCCAUCCCGUUACGUGGGGAAUUGAAUAUAAGAAAGAGAUUCUAUAAUAAGUCAAGUAAAAUAGAAGAAAGAGAUUCCAUCAUUUAGUAGACAGUUCCAUAGUUGAAGUUCAAAUAGAAAUAUAAGUCAGAAAGUCACCUCACUACUUAAUCUACUCAUUUCAUUUCAUAUAGCUAUCCACAUAUAUUCGAUUUAGUAAGAAACUCUAAACUCAACCUAUUCCUUUCCCGAACCCAGACUAUUAAAUAAGCAGUUGUAGCUUGUGUAACUCCGUUAGCCUUUCAUUUCCGUUAGCGCAACAAACAAGCAAAGCGGUGGUGUUCUUACUUACUAUAAUAGGAGAGCGAGCACUCUGCUUAAUAUAACUUACCUUUAGGAGCACGGGCCUAAACUCAAUUGAGUCUUUCUUUUGGCUUUGAGCGAGUCAGUAGUCAGGAAUGAAGUCUGAAAUGGAGCUCAACAAAGUAUAUAGUCAAAGUCUAGAAACUCCCACGGAAACUUAUUAUCCUUUUGAUUAGUUAACAGGCGUGAAAUUCAAGGACUAUUUCGAUAAGAUCACUCUCCUAAUGCGCAAUGAUCGUGAGUGUUUUACUCCAUUUCUACACAUUAAUGAGCCCAUAACGCGUAUCCUCAAGUUGAAGUGAUCGGGGGCCUUUCAAAUUAGGAUUGAUUUUGUAAACCCACUUCACACCUUAUUGUAGAUUGUAGUUUCGAACCUGACCUUAUUGGAGUUUCGGGGUGGAGUGACUUCAUACUGGCAAAACGGGGUAGAGUGACUUCAUACCUUAUGGUAUUUCGGGGUGGAGUGACUUCAUACUGGCAAUAAGAAUUAGAUAGGUAGUUUCUUUCACACAGGCCCAACUCUCUUUACUUAAGGCCCCACUCUCUUGACUUAGUAGUUAAUGCUUGACGUAUCUCGUUAAGUAUCAAGUGGAGACAACACUCUGACUACUGAUUCUGUUGGACCUAGACCAGCUCCAUCUUUAGCAUCUGAUCUUAUAGAUGAAACUUGCGAUGAAACAAAUUCAACACUCCCUCCUAAAUACAAUCUCCUUUCUUUGUUAACCGGCUGAAACGCGGUGUGCUCAAUAAUCUCUUCAACAAGCAAAGCAAGUGCAAGAGAGUCGAUGAGAUCUUCAGCGGGAGUCAGUAUAAGUAGUUGGCAGUUCAAUAUUCAGCAACAAUCUAUUCUUCAAGUGUUGUCUCUUCUGCAAGUCUAGUUUCCGUUGACGUAUAAAGAAGGAAGUGAUCGUGCCGUUGGUGCUCUAUAGCUCUAGGUCGAGUUCGGGUAAGUUCCAUUCCUGUUUGACUCUCCGUGCAAGAAAACUCAGUGCUAAGGCUAAGGCGAGUUCCUGUUAGUUACUCGAGAGAUUCAAGCCAUUCUGAAGCGUUAAGUAAUGCCAGGCCCUACUUACUGUUUGUUGUUGAAAGAGCAGGAUCUCAAGCGGGAAGUAAAGUAUCAAGUAUCUACGAAAGCCCCCAUUAUUAAUGCUGGUUGCCCGGGGUAAGCAUUAGGGUAAGUAAGGCCCCGAGAGUCAUAUGUGAGUUUAAGUGUUGUUACUUUUUGAGUAGAGGUGCACACAUAUUCCAUUCUUUUGUAGAGUGAAGUAAGGGAUGUUUGUUUACUUUAUACAAUGUAAGGAAGUAAGGGAUGUUUCUUGCACCAUACCUAUAGCAGCUUACUGCGAAACACUAGAAACUAACUAACCUGAUUGUCUAUGCUUUUGAACGUAACUUGGAGAUUCUCGAACUGGUGAUUCUCUCUCGCUCGUAGACUUUCCUUCUUCUGCUUCAAAUACAGCCUCAGAUCCUGAUUAUGCUGAUUCUGGAGUAGACUGAAACUGUAAACCGUACUCUAGGCAAAGGCAAAGGUCCAAAGUUCAAGGAGAGUGGUUUUAGUUGUAUAGUAAUAGUAGCCCUUUCGAAAAGCCCCCGUGCUAAGGCUUAGUCUCGAGGUGCCUAUCUCAGUUAUUAAUAAAAAGAAGCUGGUAGAGCAGAAAACAAAGGUGUUUUGAAAGCAAGGGUGGUAAUACCUAUUAUAGCGGAUAGUCAGACCUAUAGCUAGGAAAGAUGGAUUGAAUCGGGCAAUAAUCAUAAUCAUAUUCUCAGUGGAUUGUACUAAUCCAGUUCUAAUAUAAGUAAGUAGAUAAGUGAUUGUAUUAAUCUACGAGUUAAAGGCUGUAGGAGCAGUUUGAGGAUUCAUAUCACUAUACAAUAUGUUUUAUCAUUUAGUAGAAUCUGUUGUAUCAUUAGAAUAUUUUAGAAGAGUUUAUUUGCUUGCAGUGUAGUUGAAGGUAGUAGUGCCGGUUUUAAGUUCACAAGUAAGGAUGGUAGUCAGCAGGGCGGGGUUCCAGAUCAUUAUUUCAAGAAUCAGGGGUAGGUUAGAUAGCCUUAGAAGUGGGGGCUAGCUAGUAAGAAGAUAACUAAGAAAUAAUAAGUGACAACAGUAGUCGUAAGGAUACAUCGGUAGGCAAGAGUAGUCGUAAGGAGACAUUGGUAGGUAAGUCAGAAUGAGCGACUAUCCCUCCCUAUUAGAUCCAGCUCAACAACUAUAGUGCUUACAACAAUCGAACUCAGGCAUACAACAAGAAAUGGCAGGAAAGUAAGAAUGACUAAGUCUAAAAAGGGAUAUAAUCUAAACUAUGGUAAAAGCUAUGGCAAAAGCAAGACAAAAACUAUCAAGUCAGAAUCGAGCACUACCUAACGAACUAAACUAGCAAGUCAUAAUGUCCCUCCCUGUCCGAGAACUAUACCUAUAAUUAUGAUUUCUCAUUUCAAAUCUCCCUUAUUACCUUGCAUUGUGGCUUCUGGGCUUUAGGCUGACUUUGUGCCUGCUUGAAAAAAAACUAUAUCCCCGCUUUGAAGCUACUUCCCUUUGCUUUAAAACUCUAUUUGACCUUUGAUUCUUUCAUUCCAUUAUUAGGUCUACUAUCCGUGCCUUUAUUCUUAUUUCGAUUAAUUCAAUACCCAUUUGUGAGUCUGUCUUUCCUUUAUCCUAACCUGAAACACGGAUAUCUAAACCUUACUUGUGAAUUUCAAACGAAAACUACUGCUUUUGAUUGCUUAACUGUUGAUUUAGAUGCUUACUCGCUUGUUUCAAACCUCCCUUCCCGGCUUUUUGAUUCUUUUAAUCCAUACUUGUAUUCUAUAGCUGUUGAUCUAGAACAAGAUACAGAACCAAUAGAUGGGUUAGUAUAACAUAGAACCAACACAACAAUUUGCAUUCUAAUGAAACCGGAGACCGGGGAUUGAACUAAGCACUAUUAGAAUUAGGACUCUACUGAAGGGUACCACUUUCUAAUCGAAAAACAGGCAUACGAGACCAGCACUAAUAACCACAGGGAUCCAACUAAUAGAAAACAGACUUGACUUUCCAUAGGGCCUCAUAAUGAAACCCUAAGUAAUGAAUUGACUUAUUCAUAAUUUAGGUGAAAGAGGAAUGAACUACCGGCCAAGCAGACGGAAAAAAGGAAAUAAUUGUUUGGGUAUGAUCUAGGGCAUACAGAAAGAAUAAUCCGCUAAGGCAAGCCACCCUUACUCACCGGUAGCAAAGCCUUACGCGUGUUCGCUUCAAGCCGGUACUACCAACCUAAAAUCAGUAGUUCACCUAUCAGCCUGCCACUAUUGACUAGAAUUCUGAUUCUCCUCUUGCACUCUAACUAUCCUGACUGCCUUCCCCAACACCCCUUGGAUUCUGUAAUUGAUGCUUCCAAGGCUCUCACUGCUGACUCAUAGCCGUACUUGUAGCUCUCUGAUUCUGAAACUGGCUUCGAACCUUGCUUGACUAUAGCACAUAGCCUCCAUCUCCUUGCUCUAAGUCUCCAGAUCUAUGCUUUCUUUCCCCGAUAUACGAACCAGGUUCUUAUACUCUUGGAUUUCACUCUGUAGCUGCUGAACCUAAACCUUACUUGUGAGUUUGAGUUUACUAUAUAAGGUAGUUCAAACUGACAAUCCCAACUCGCAAACUAGCACUCAAAACCGGGAACUGGGCUGUUACUAACAAGGUUGAUACACUACGCUAAUGGAGUAGAACACGAGCAUACAAGAAGAGAACCCUAAACAAGGGUCGAUGUAAUUGAGCUGGACUACCAAUAGGAGUUGAGCUGGGAACUAAGACUUCCCCCACUGCUUCCAAAGCCCCAAUUACGACUACUAAGCGCCAACCUCGGAACUCCGCCUAUGCCCUUGGACACUGAAUCUUUCUUUCCAGGUUAUCAGCCUGACCUCGUAUAUAAGCUUGCCUUUCAUUCAGAAAUGGCUUAGGAAGUUGACUUAUAUAAUAUUCAUAAGUAUGUUGCUUAGCGAACCUAGGGCUUUCACCUCUGAAGUCAGAAUAUAACCCGGGCGGACUAAAACACGAGAAAGGGAAUGAAACUCGGAACGGGGAAUCUAUUAAUGGCAAGGCGGAUACACUACCUUAAAUAAUCGAACCCGGGCAUAAGAGAAUAGAACCUGGGCUACCAUACCGAUACUGGAACUACUAAUAGAAGGACUUGAACUCAGAACUCAGGCUUACUUUACUGUUUAUAAGACACUGAACUAACUAACGCCCAAUGAAUCAAACGACUAACUAGUAAUCUGACUACUACUACUAAAUAUCACUACUAUGGACAAGAUCCCAACUCUCACUCUGAAACUCCUUGCUUCAAGCCUGCCUUUCUUGACUCUUGGCCUGUAGCCCAUACCCUUCACUCUGCUAUCUUAUUAACAUAUGUAUUCCCUAUCCCUGCCUAUAAUCUAGUUCGCUCUACCUCUCCGUACUGUACCAACCUAACUCCCUGGGGUGAGGUCUAGUGCUUACUGCUUGGAUUCUGAUACAACUAUCAAUAAGAGUUGCACUGGCGCUUAUAAGGCAAAUAUGGUCAAUACUGACUUAAACACAUAAGUAGAGGACCCCGACAAGACUUAUCCCAUUAACUAUAAAACUACCUAUAAGAAGAAGCAAGCUACUCUAUCAGAAGAGAACUCAGUAACCGAGCCUUACUUACUGCCCGAACCUUAACUCUUAGGGACCUCAUUCCUAUAUGAGAUUAUUAGGUCUCCCGCUCCUCUAUCUUAUUCUUACUGUCUGUCUCCCGCUCCUUUCCCUUAUUCCUACGUACGAAUGUUAGUCCGACACUACGACUUUUCAUUAUUCAAUUAGGUAUUCCAUUAACUUAGUUUAAUACAAUAAUGAAUUAACUCAUAAUAAUACAAUAAUUAACAAACAAGGCAAAUCAAUAAAUCGGAAUGAGAGGUAAAGUGAAGUAAGAAUAACCUGUGCGAGCAAGUCAAGGGGAGCUAUUACUUGAUGAUGACCCCAUUAUAAGUGCUAUUCCAAGUUUCCGGGUUUGUUUUAGAUACACUACCCGUAUGUAAACCCGAGCUGCUAGCCCGCCUUCCCGACACCCAUAUCCGUCUAUUAGUCUGGUUGCUGGGGUCAAUUAGUAAGCCUUCGUUCCAAGUUCGAGUAUUACCUUUGAUUACAAGUUGAGAGUUGGCUUCUCGCCCCCUAUUUGUGUUGAUUCUGACUUAUGUGUUCACUUCUUCUCUUAUUAGUUUCAUGCUAGAUACGCUACUUCUUACCUAUGUUCUAUCCAUUACUUCUUACCUAUGUUCUAUUACUUCUUAGUGGAAUUCUGACUUAUGUGCUCGAUCCUUCUACUACUUAGUUUGACCUAUUAGUGUACUAGCCUAUGCCAGUGUAUUCUUGUUGAACCAAUAAACCAAUGAACAACCAAUGCACUAAAUCAAUAAACAAAUAGAAUAAUAAACCCCUGGGCACCAAGCGAUUCUUCAAACGAAACUUCCCGAACGGAACUCCACCUUGAAUAUAGGUAGGCAUACCGAUCCUAGCAACAACUAUACCUUUUCAUUCUUAACUACUGUAGCGCCUAAACUGUCUUUACUGCUUUGAAUUCUCUUUUUCUCCUCCAAUCGUUCAGUAUUUCUUAACCAUAUAUUAGAAUGGGUUCCAAAGCUCAGUAGUAGCAUAAUGCAUUAAUAUAUAAUAAUAGAUUCCAAAGUGAGUUCACUGGUUCUGGUUCCAAAGCAAAGCCAGAGUCGUAUAAGUAGCCCGCUCUGAGUCAUAAGUCAUAUAAGUAGCCCAGAGUCGAUAAGUGGAAGUACUCUGAUUCUGUUUGUUAUCAAAAUCCAAGAGUUGACCUAGCUACUUUCCUAGACUAGCACUACAGUUCUCUUGACACUCUAGGUUUUGGUGAAGUGGAAUUAGUUUACUUACCGGUAGUGAACUAAAGAAUGGAGUUUCAGAGCCUACCUACUAGGCUGUCUUACUACUCUCAAUCCGGUGUUGAUAAAACGAGGAACUCCUAAGCCACGAGACUUAACUGGCAUUGCAUCUGAAGUUGCUGGUUCAGAGGAUCUGAUUCAAUAACCGCACCCACACACCCGACCCGCACAGGAAAGUAUCUCGGUUAAGGCAAAAGUAAUAGGACUACGACACCAUACUUGAGAACAGAGUUUUAUGGUUCCUUUGCUAUCGCUGUGAGACAAGCCCUACUACUAGUUUCUAUAGCAUUUGUUAAGAAAUGCAGAAAUGUUGCCAGUUGACAGAGGUGGAUCAGGACACUAGUAAGACCUUGGAGUUUCAGACCUGAUUGAGAGUUGCGAGCGGGAAGGGAAUAAAGAAAUCAUAGUUACGAGCGGGAAACAAUAUGGCUUAACCGAGUGAAAUCAGUUAUUCUUUAUCCUGCUUGGCCCCUAGUUUAGUCUUCAAGGGAAGUUUAGGGUGUUGUUGACGAAGCGGGAAUAGAAGUUUUCUCAGAAGCCUGAAGUGGUGUUGAGUGCGCCAACCAAUAUUUACAGGGUCAAUUCCAUCUUCCAGGGUCAAUUCCUUCUUCAGCAAGUGGUUCUGUUCGAGUGUAAUCCCCAGUUCCUGCUCUAAGAUAUGAAGUUGGCGGUUAGCUUUUCUCUUAAACUCAGCGGUUAGCUUUUCUCUUACUUAUUAGUGGAAUGAUUAUACUUACAGGUGGAAUUCCCUUACAGUUGCUGUUGUUUCUUAUGAGUUCAAUAGUCUUGGAAGCAAUGUAGCCAGCAGGGUGAAAUUCAUUGUAUCCAUAGGUUUCAUUGCCCGAGGUAUUAUAUAAGAUAGUUGCCUGAGUGAUAUUAGAGUCCCGUUCCAGUAAGAAAGUAGGGUGCAGAGUUACUGGGCCCAGUCGAUAAGCGCAACUACUGAGGAAUGGAAUUUCAGCAGUUUCAAGAAGGUUGCAGGGAUAGUUUGCUUAGGUCGGAAAGGGUUAAGAAGAAAGAGAUGUUACCAGUUGCAAGAGUGAUAUGAGAAUGCCCUUUUCCUGUUCUUGUUCUAGUGGAAUCUCGAGUGAAAGUGGAAGAUGCUUGAUCAAGUCAGUCAGGUUACCCGUUGCGAGUAAGUUAUAUCCAUAUAUGCUAUAAGUUGAUAAAGAUUAGAUUAUAUAUGCUAUAUUAAGAUAAAGUAUUAGAUAGAGACAAGUUCGUUAGCGCCUCAAGAAGUAAAGAAGUAAGCUUACGCGCAUCUAAACUAGAUCAGAUCAUUGCUUGCCCAGCCCCAACCCCCAGUAGUGGUAAAGUUUCAUAUGUCUUUGUAGCAAGAGGAUAGAGAUUGGCCCCUAGUUUCAUCAGUUAUCUAUCUUAGAUAAGAAAGAAUGCUCGUUGGAAUGAAUUGAACUCGGAGUUCACCCCCUAUUUAGUAUAUGCUUGUCGGCUUGUCUAUACUAAGCUUUACUGAUAGCAAUUCUUAUAAAUUUCAAGAAACUUUCUCCUUGACCUCAGACUUUAGGAGCCAAUCACUGAACCUAUACUAGAAACUUAUGUUAGUUGUAGUUGUUAUGGAGUCCUGUGUUCGGGAGCUAAGCAGUAACAGCCUUAAGAGUUGCGCCUACGGGUUCGAGUUAGGGUUUGCAUACGACGACUUUAGCCUUGAAUGAAACAGUGACGUAUCUGUAUCAAACAAAGAAUAUAGAUAACUGACACAGUAACCGAGCCUUGCUUCAUUAGUAACAAAACCUUAUACUCGUUCAUUGCAUCCUUACUUGUGAGUUUGCUGCCUCCAAGCCUUACUCUUUAGUUGGCAUUCCACUAAUAAGGUUGACUUACAAAGAAUUCCAGACGGGAGUUUCCGGUUUCAAGUCAAGAGCACCAGAAUGAAAUAGUAUCUAAUAAGAACCAAAGACAGGAACUCUAUAGACAAAUACAGAUGUUAGAUCCGCAAUGGCAGUUGGAAGCUAAGAACAAGGACAGAGGCAGAGGAGAGGGAAUAGAAGCAGUGCGAGGAAAGUCUAGUGAUGAGUGCGAGUAAAGUCAGUAUAGUUCUGGGAAAUCCAAUUAACUGAGUUGCCUUACUUAAUAGGAAGGGGGGAAGGUUAGCUUAUCUUACUUAAUAGGAAGGGAUAAUGUGUUAGCUUAUCUUACUUAAUAGGAAGGGGAAAAGGUUUCAUAAACCCGUGCAACUAGGCUCCUGACGCCAUGCUUCAAAGCCAGGGUAAACUUCAAGGUAAACUCUGAUUGUCCCUCUCGCUACUCGCUACUAAUACGGAUGAAACUAAGGAUUACUUUAGCUACUUUCCUAGCCUUUAUUAUAUAAUGACUUUUGAACUCACUCCUACAGUUGCUCAAAAUAACUACACUUGAAUAACUGACCCCGACCUCUUCUACUUCUACUUUACUUAAAGAAUCGAUUGUAGCUUACUUUCACACAGCUGAUUCUUCUGCCACCCGCACUGCAUCUCUCUCUGUUCUCAAGUAUGGUGUUGGGAAGAAGGAUUCUCUUACCGGCUUUGAUGCGAGGUCUACUUCCGUAGUUGCUUGGUCUGUAUUAGGAGCUUGGCCCUGACUUGGAUGAUAGCAAUUCCAUUCAGAUUUCUUGCUCUAGUCCCGAUGCUUGCCUACUUACUAUGUGUUCGGGAGAAAGAGAAGAGGAGUGGUUUGUUGACUUAAGAAUCCAAUCCAAUCCAAUAGUCGUGAAAAGAAAUGAGAAAUCAGUAGUUAGUUGGCGGAUAGCAAAUCUGUCUGCUUGUUGGCUUGGCUCUAUGCUUUUGCAGUAUACGCUUGGCCCGGAUUGAGUGUCUAGUAAGUAGCUUGGCAGAGCAAGAGGAGAGAGAAGUAAAGGCUUUGAGACUAGGGGGAGAGAUUAUCUAUGGAAUAACUCUAUUAUAAUGUAUUUAUAUGCGCGAGUCUUGCCAAAGAAUGUUGACUUACCGGGCAUAAAAGAAAGGUGAACUCUGGUAUGCCUGCUUUGCUAGGGAAGGAAGGGGAGUGGACUCAGUUCUCUUGCUUAUAAAAGAAGGAAUUCAAGUGUUCCUGCCUCGGAUCCUGCUCUUCGAGACUUGACUCUCACUGCUGAUUCAGUUGGGUGGAACAGCUUUCUUUUCUUAUCAACAACAAAUAUCACUUUAGCGUAACAUUUGUAGUGUCUUAGCGGACCUGCCGAUACUGAAACUCCAUUGGGAAUAGAAGUCACUUAACACCUUAGGAUAAACGAUACACUAAAAUGAAAAACGGAUGGAAUUGUUCUUUAAUUGUUCCUGGUUUGACCAUACUAUUUCCCUAAUAGAUUAGAUAUUCUCUUUACUAUAUUAGAUAUUCUCUUUAUAAAUAAUAAUAAUGAAAAUCAGAUUCAACUCGGGGUUAAGAUAAGAGUGAAUAAAACGAUUUCAGCUCGCGCAUGCAUUUAAACCACUAUAGGAGCAAGUUCUUUAUUUGUUGUUUGUUGACUACGGGGAGGUAGGCGCAUCAACUAGGGUAGUGACUCAGUGCAAGGCCAGAUCAGAUGACGCCAGCAGGGUUCAAUGAACUGUUGCCAUAGGUGGCGGAGCAAGAGGAAAAGCAAUAGAAGCAGUGAAAGUUAGGUCUACCAUGAAUUCUAAGGGCAGAUCGAUCAGAUGCAAGCGGGAAAGAAAUCAAGACGAGAAAGAGCGGCCCUUUAGCGACAUUUGCUUGUUUAUUAUGAUAGUUGUAUUUGCUUUCUUUCUGUGGUAAAGCCAGAAUCAGCCCUCGGCUUUAUGUGAUGUAAUUAAAGUCAAUUUAUUGGUGCUGUCUAAGUCGGAUAGAGAAGAUAAGGAAAAGAGCUUAAUAAAGGGAUCUUAUAUUUCUAAUCACGUGGAAAACAAACCACUAUUGAAACUAUCCCCGUCGCGGGAGUAAACAUCAUACUAUUGGACUGCUGGAACUGCUGUUGUGUCGCGUGGUAGAAUAAGUCCUCGUCAAAAGCCCUACGUUUGAUCCUCUGUGGGGCGCUGGGCGGGCGGCAGGCAAAAGGAAUAAACAGGCUGUGCGCUUACCCAUUUGAUAAAUAGAAAUGUCUAGGCCUACAAAGUACCCCAAUGGAACAGGCUCUAAGAGGUAUUCAAUUAUACAAUGAUGAAAUUGCUCACUUAUAUUAGAGUUAGUAUGUACCCCGGGAUGGGACGAGGUAAAAACACCUAACUACAAGAAAGGAGUUCCAGAUGGGCAAGCAAGCGAUAGUAUUCUGCCAAAGCAAAAAGCACAAUCCAAUGCUAUUCUUAACUUCCAAUCCCUACCGAUUAGAAUGUUAGUCAAAUAUGCUCCCUGAUAUGUGUCCUCCACUUCUAUAUAUAAUGUAUUCCUCCACUUCUAUCCUCUGGUAUUUAUGAAUUCGUGGAGUAUGCCUGAUUUUGGAGGCUAGCUCUAUAGAAUAUGGGAUCUUUAUCUAGUCUGGGAGAUGUGAAAAACCCCUGCACGUGUAUAGGUUGUCAAUUAUAUAGUAAGAGGGCCCUUAUUGAUGAGACUUUUCCGUUUUACCGUGAAACACUCCGCUACACUAGUAGUUACUUGGCUGAUAGCAUUGGUGGUGUAUAGGUAUGUGAGAGUAUCCUUCCCUACCAGAGUUACAGAAGCAAGCGGGUAUCUCGGCUCGGGCUAAACUCUCUUCUUUAAUUCCUCUUUUACGAAGCUACUCUAUCAGUCACUCAACCACAGCAAUAAGGCUUAACCGAGUCCUAAUGAAUAGCGUCAGUAUCCUCUUAGGUCCUAUCGAACAAUAACUUUACUACCAAUCGGACUACCUGGACUACCAGUGUCGGACUACCUGGACUACCUGUACUACUACUUGCUACUGCCUUGGCUUCAAUCCUAUCCUACAAAACUCCCCUUUCUUUCCUUCCCGCUUCUAAGCCUCCAACAAAGCACUUAGUAUAAGCUUGGCCAGUUGACUGUGUAUUCGUUUAAUAAAUCUCUGUUGAGUGUAAGUGGAAUGGAAUGAGAAACUGCCCUGCCCUACUACUCGGUAAAUGUUUGUUCUGGCGUGAAAGCUGGGUUCAUGGAAUAUCAUAGGAGAACCUUUAGCCUCCGAUUCUAUCGCUUACAUCGGAAUUUCAUAAUUUCAUUGUUGAGCACAUGGUCCUGGGAUAUAUGCUUGUAAAGACACAGCUUACCUAUCUUUUUCAUCUUAUUAUGUUUCUUCCAUUUGUGACCUGAUCCUGAUCAAUAGGGCUCUGCUUCCAAAGCUUCUUAUCCCCUUUUUCUGCUUACUCACCUGAUCCAGCGUCUGCUGCUUCCUUUCGCACUCGACUUUCAAUUACAUCUGCUCUCGGAGACAAAACCAGAACUCAACCUUUACUUCCCACGACUUAACCCUACUUUAGAGCAGAGCAGGACUACUCUACUGCACCUCCGGCUUAUCUCACUCCAUUUAUUUUAUACCAGAAUUCGGCUCAACUCUUGCUCUUUCAAACAAGACUGUUUUGGUUACUUCCAUUGCCCACCUCGCCAUUACUAGAUGCGCUAUUCUUCACCCGGGGGCAUAUACUAAUAGCUACUAAAACGGAGGUUAAUAAAUAACAUAUUCAAUAGGUACACUAACUGUAAACUCUUUUCUUAGGAGCUGCCGCCAUGAAUACAGGACUCAGAAGGUGGUAGCAGUGCUUGUUCAACAAUCCUAUAGAAAGUUAUAUGGCUUUUCUUAUACUUAGUGUCUACAAUGUGUGUACAGUGGAAAUGAAAGUCGUUUCUCAUUUUAUGGAAUUUUAUUGAAAAGAUUGAACCACCCCGGCCUUUGUUUAUCGAGUGAAGUCAACCCUAGGGUAGGGGUAUCGAGGCAUAACAGCAUUGAGUGCAACAGGAACUUACUAAAAGAACAGGUGCAAUGAUGGGUGUUUGCGACCAGGUGCAAUGAUGGGUGUUGGGAAGAAAGAUGAUCUUACCUAGCCUCAAAGCCGGUACAAGUCCUGUAUUCGACCCUUAAGAUUAUAAGCUAAUACGCAUUCUUUUGCCCCUAAGUGGGUAUGAAAUGAGAUUCUCCCUAUAAAACUUCGAAACAUGCGAAAGAGUUUCUUUUAUGCCCUAUUCUUACCGGGUAGUCAACUAUAGUACAUUUGUUGCUGCCGCUACACAUGAUAAGUGCAGGAUGAUGGGGGGUGCAAUGAAAUUACAGAAAUAUGCAAAUAAUUGAUCAACCCCUUUCUUAACCACUGAUCUUUCCCCUCUACUGUAACUGUGUAAGACACCCGCCCUUAAGGAUAUCUUCUCCUUAUAUAGGAUUCUAUUUAUGAUUCCACUCGGGGUUAAAACACAGAUGAAACUCGGGAUGAAACAACAACAAGAGCAAUACGCAGAGCAAUACCACCUAGGGAAGCUGCCCUACUUUUUGAUACAGCCUCCACUGCCUCUGGUUUUGGGCCUGGCCUCUACUUCUUACUGAACAGCUGACCUUGGAAACCCGACACCCAUAAUAAGUGUUAACCCAGGCACUGGUUCUUGUUAGCACCGGUUUCAGGCUUAGAUGUACUGGUUUGGUUCUGUAACUCCUUUGUCUCAGUCUUGCUUCCCUUGCUCUCAGGCUUGGAGGCAGCGGUUGGUGUCUGAUCGGAUCUAGUUUGAUUCUUGCACUGCUGGGGCACAGUCUGAGCCUACUUAGUGUCAUUCCGAACCUACCCGGCAUCAGGCUCGGAAGCAUGGGUUUGAGCCUCAGUAGCACAAGUAUCAGGCUUGGAUUCACUGGUUGGUGUCCGAGUAGCCCUGUUAGCACUGUAUUAAGUCUGCUCGGCACCGGUAUCAGCCUUAGAUGCACUGGUUCAAUUCUGAUAGUAGAUAGGUCAAUUCUAUCACUCCCUUGGUUGAGUCUGUUUCUCACCGGUUGAAGCCACCAAGCAACUACUAAUGACCGCCAAGACACUACUAACGUGGCGCUAAAGUGAGUUUUAGGCGGCGCAAGACGUUGUGCGGUAGUCAUGAAUAACGAGUUAUAACAAAUUAUUACCAAGUCCUGUUUUUGGGAGCCUGUUGAAAUAAACAAAUCAAUAUCAGGAUAAAAGGAUAGUUAUAGGGAUAGAUCCAGCAGUUAUGAAAGCAGGAUCAUGAGCCGGGGGUGAAGAAUCGAUUACUUUACCGCUACUCUGUCACUUUGUCUCCUUUCUUUGCCUUUGCGAAAGAACUCCCUAUCGCCUUGUAAACAACUACUGAUCUAAAGUCUAGUGAUUGUAUCUCUCUAAGCCAACUUACUGCGCGAAAAAAGAACAUUCCUUCCCAUAGAAAUUCUUUCUUAUAUAGUAGGAUAACGGAUUACAGAAUCAAUCUCUCUUAUCACUGACAACCCUCGCUAUGAACCUAGACAAUUGAACUCAGUCUUGAAUUGAUUGUUUAACAAAAGCACAAUCACCUCCCUCCUUAUGCGCUAGACGAACACAGCACUCCGAGGUUUACUUACUGGUUGAAUUCUUCUUCUUACCCCCCCGGAUUCUCUUUCCUACCUUGCCUGCCUACGGAGCACUGGAUUUCUUUCUGAUAUAAGUGAAUGAAACUCUAAGUGAAUGAAACUCUGGGUGCCGACCUCAACUAUCACUGCUUCCUGCUUCCAAAACUAUCUCCUUACUUGCUGGCUCUUGAACAUAUAACCAGUAAUAAAAGCAUCAAAACUCUAAACCACAUGACUUGUUCAUAACGCGGACUCGGACUUGCUCAACCUUCUUCUAAAACAUCUGCAGCCCAUACCUAUCUCCUUGACCUUUCAGUGAGGAAUGUCAUUGAACCUAUGGAGCACCCGGCCUCUUAUCUUUAUUAUGAUUGAUCUUAUGCUUGGGCCCGGACCUGUACUACAUUAUGAAAUAGAUCUUGAAACGGAUGAAGUUGCUUCUACUGAUACUUACUUAUGAAUGGCAUUCAUUAUUGGUAGCCAUGGGUGUAGUAGCCUUAGGGGGUCUCAUUCUAUGAAUUGUAGGAAUUAUAGGAAUGGACACUCAACUUAUUAUAGAGGCACAGAACUACAAAGAGCGGGUUGGGGCUUGCUGAGAGUACUAGGGUUGGUCAGCUACCAAAGAAAGUAUUGGAUCCAUAGAGCAAGGGGCUCGGCAUUAAAUAACCUAGUCAUCAAUAAGACUAGUCAUCAAUAAGACUAGUCAUCAAUAAGAAAGGUAGGCUAAGCUCAUAACUCUAUAAACAGGACCCUAGAUUGCUGCUUCCACUUAAGAAAUACUUCCUUAAAAUGAAACCAAUCAUGAAACUACUACUAAGGCAAAGAACCAAGCCCUAACGCCUUAACCCUUCUUUUCAACUGAUUUAUUUGUGGAUGUAUUAGUAGAGCAGAGUAAUAAUGAGUUUACUUCGCACUUUUCAAACUCCUAUAAGUUAGUAACAAUCUGAUUGUCUCUUUUCCUUCUCCUUUCCUUUGAUAGCUAGGUUAGAAAUAGAUUUCAUUAGAAUGCCUUUUGACUACAAUCUUCAUUCAGCAGUAAGUAGAGAUGGAGAUGAGCAUUCGGCUUCAGGAUACUUUGACACUGAUUGAUUUUGCGCUUAAGACAGAAUUUCCACUUAUGCAUUCGAUAAGAGAGAGUCGAUUAACCGCUAUGUGGGCAGUUGAGAACUUGGAUUGAUUCAAUUCUGGAGCUUAAAUAAGGGCAGGCAAUUCGGGUAAUUACUUUGAGCUCCAGCAGCACAAUUAGUUUAGUGUUUAAUGAGUUCCUCUGGUCGACCACAACUCUGUUAAGGGUGGAUUAGGACAUUUACAAACUAAGGCAAACACAUAGCAUAGCGCCAAGCUACUAUGUCUGCUAGCUCUACAAAACUCUCAGCAAUAACGGGGUAAACUCACUCAGACAACUAUAACUAUCCCCUGGCAAACUCCUCUGGCUAACUUUCAUUCUUUCUUUUCUAGGAGAGCUUCACUGAUUGAACUCGGGACGACACUGGGGAUGAAACAACUUUAGGAGAUUUACCCUGACCGAUAGCACUCAACUAAACUUCCUUCUUCAGAAGCACUAACUUAGGUAAAUUCUUCAUACAAAACUCUCUCUCUUAUCCUUCUUUCUCAUGCUCUUAUCCUUUAAAAGUAGCGAGGGUUGGAUAAGGUGGGCAAGGGAUAUCAAAAGUGACUUUCGAGGAGAGGCUGGCGAGGCAAGAAAGAGAUAGUGAUUGUGCUGUCGACGAAAGAGAGAGAAGAAGGCCUGGCCUGUAAACACCUAACCCGAAGCGAAGAAUAAUACGCUCAUCCUCAUAUAUAUAUCAAGUAUGAAUUUAGAGAUUAGUGAGGAAGAUUUGUAUUGACUUUUGACUAAGUCCGUUUACCUUUCUUAUGGCCCAGAGAACACCGGAUGACUAAUCUUAGUAUCUAACUCCGUAAGCGCUUCCAUAUAUGAUUACAAAGUGCCGGCAAACCUGAGACAAGGAAAGGAGAAGGGCUUGAAGAGUGGAAUUGGAUCCGAAGUUGCCUUGAAAGCCUAAAGUAGAGAGUCAAGGGCGGGGGACAAGACGGCCGAUGGCUUCCACUCCAUUUCCUCACACUUAUAUUAGAAUUCGAACAAGCCCAAAGCGCAAGUAGGUCCAAGUCGUCACGAGCAGCCACCGUUUCGGAUCCAAAAGUCAAGAGGGCGAGUUGACUCGGAGAUCCUGCUCCGAACUCCACUUGAAGAACCGAGAUUAUAGUCUUUUCAAUCAAGCACUCGAAGGCGCUCGACUUUCAACGAAUCACUCCUUAGGGGGGCAAGUCCUGUUUCGUUAGCACAGCUCACUGAUCGCCAACUACAGGCUCGAUAUGACCAAUCUGCUCUUCUUACUUGAGAGUUUGAUACCUUCCGAUUUGAAUAACUCGCUGACGCGGUAGUCCGGAUCGGAACCCGUUUGUUAUAGAUUUGAUGUUACUGGUUAUGCUCCUACUUCUACUAGCUUUGUUAAGAGCAACCAAGCAACUACUAAUGUAUAGCGGUAGCGAGCGGAAAGGACUUACCCGCAUGAAACAACUAAGUAAUAGAAUUGAACUACCGGUAUUGAACAAGAGAAGAGAUUUCCCCUCCUAGCCUAGGUAUUAUAGAAAGCUUGUUCCCCAGCUCUCGCUCUAGGUAUGAUAGAAAGAAGUGACCAACUGCUCUCGCUCUAGGUAUGAUAGAAAGCUUGUUCCCUGCUAUUGCUCUAGUAGUUGAUUGGCGUCUAGGUUCGUUGCGAGGGAAGGUUAGCUAGCUCUAAGUCUGCUCGGCAAGUUCCAUUUGUUGAGUGAGAGUUGUUAUCAUGCCAGAUCGGAAAAGGCAAAAGCGCGUGGACCUGCUCACGGGAGUAAGGCCUGCUCAGUAGUGCAGUAGUGGGCAGACGGGCCAUCUUAAAUGAUUGAUAUAGGAGGAAAAGGAGCAGCUGUAGAAAAGCAAUUACACUGGGUUUGGUUCUCAAUUCCAUAGAGUAUGUGCAGUGAAGUUUGAAUUUACCCGGUUAGCUAGACCUUUCGCUACUGUCCUUAAACUAUAGUUCAACCGCUUUGCUUUAACAACAAGAUUGAACUGAGAAGUGAACGCAACGCGGAGUUGGUUAAACCUGAGCGUAGCUAUGUCGCGUGAAGAACCUAAGCUUCCGACUUUAGAAACACCUUCCACAGAGCACAAGAAAGAGGUAGGGUCGCACAAGAUAGAGGUAGGCUUGUCAGAUGGAUAGCUAUAGUCUCUAGUUGCUUUCUUUAUGUUUUGGGUAGUAAUUUCUUGUAAUAUAGCUUUUACAGGGAGACCAAGAGAAAGGGGUUUGGUUUGAUUUAACGCCGAGAAAGAGAUGGAGAUAUAGAGCCAGUGAGACCAAGAUCCAGAGGUCAAGGAUUUAACGCCGAGAAAAGGAUAGAUGGAGAUAUAGAGCCAGUGAGACACAGCUUCAGCGGUGCUAUCCAAAACCGCCUUCUCUGUGCUAUCAGAGAAACUCGUCCUUUCUCUUUACCUUUGUGCUUCCGUGGUUCGGUCAGCUUUGAAGCAUCGUCCCGAAUCAAGUCAUACAAGAAGUAAGUUGAAGUAAGAAUGGAACUAGUACUAGAUGCGGGCCAAGUAAGCGGAUGUAGUGAGGCCAAGGUACUACUAAACAAGGUACUCUUGCUAAAGCCACUCAAAAGUCAUAAAGUAAGUCAGAUCUGAUGCUGCCGAGCCGGGGGAACAAGCAAACUACUUCAGAAUGGAAUGGAAAAGUCGUUCUUGUGAACCUACCUUUACCUAAGUAAACUAAUUCUGAUUUCUUACCCCGACCCGACCUCUAUACUUCUAUUCUACCAACAAGAAUAAAGCUAGCAACUCUAAACUACUGGCUCUGCUCUGUCAACUAAUUCUGGAAUUCUACCUUAGGCUCGUCUCUGGUCAACUAAUCAAAUGGGAAAACCAUCAUCUCCACUUAGAAACAGCCCUUCUAAUGCAUUUGUAGCGUCACAUCUUAUUUGUUCAAAGCCAAACUCUCCAGAACAGGAAAACCUCUGGCACAAAGCAACAAACAACGACGCAAGACGAACAAACAAGUAACGGUGAGCUGCUCGCAACAAGACGAAGUGUGCUAACACGGGGGGAAUUUACUUAAUGGAAUUGUGGAAUGGAGUCCUAAACUACGGAAGUGCGAACUCCUCACGCGCAAGUCAAAGAUUCCAUUACUGUUUUAGGAGUCCCCUAAGUUACCGGAUUUCUAUUAGCAGAGCAACACAUAGGCUAAACAACGAUUAAGAAGAUGAACGCCUUUCCCUCAAACACAUAACUUCUUGCUGUAGGGGGCCCCAAUACGGAAUUGAUUAUCUUGCUUCGAGCUCCCGUUAACGAGUUACUCUUAUUCUUAUUCUCUUAUCACUCAACUCCUAACAUAGAAAUAAGGAACUCCCACGUUAGCGAGCGGAACUGCUUGUUUCAUGGACACUCCCUUCACUGAUGCUACUGAGUCUUGUUGAGGAAGAAAUCAAAUCCAAUCAACAUUUCUUCACAGAUGCGCUUUCACUCUCUUGCAGGGCAUAUAAUUCUCUCUUCUCACAAGCAAGUAAAUACGGAAUUGACAGUGGAUCUUAAGUCCAAAAAUCAUUCCAAUAAGAGAUUGCACUCGGUAUGAAACUGGCUGCUGGCAAGGCAACUACACCUCGACUCUGGCUCUGUCAACUAAGACUUUUAUUGCUCUCAUCUAACUCAAUCUCAAUUUCUUUUAUACCUUCAUUCGGCUCAUAUAACUCUGGCUCAUCUCUGAUAUAAUACUUCUGGCUCCCAACGGGCUCCUGCCUAGCAACUCCUUUAGCACAACAAGAAGCUCCCUGCCGCGUAACGUUAGUAGUUACUUGCCUGCUUGUCUGCUUUGCCCUUCCCGCAACAAAAGCACCCGCCCCCUAAUCUAUUGUUUUCUUUCCUGCGGAGACGAUAGUGCCCCGCAACACUUAGGAAUUCCAUUCUCAAUUCUGACUUCCGGAACUCAUUAACACACUUACACUUAGUCUUGCGAAAUAGCUUGUGGAGUUAUCUUUUUAGCCCAGAGCGUAGGAACUUAUUCAACAUCCUUUACCAGAGAGUAGCCUUGAACCAUAAAGAUUAGGGGCGUCAAUUCAUUCGUUGGACAGUUCUUUACUAAUUUCUUGCAACUUACUUUCGACAGUUUAUGAUCUUGCUUGGGGCACUCACUGGAGCUUUAUAAGGACAUUCUCCACUUAGUCUUGCCCGGACGGAACUACUUUAAACGUCAGCUAGACAAGAAGAAUAGGCCGACUCCCUACAAGCAAGGGAGCCUUAUUGUCAGAUUCUUCCUAAGCUUGUUAUCGAGCACAAGGUAUAGGUUCUAUGUAAAUACAUAGCUUCCCCAUCUUGAUCUUAUUCAUCUAUUACCUACCUAUAAACUAGGAAGAUGACCCCUACCCCCAACUCGCACGUACUAGGCUAGAUUUGUUAAGAGCACAUACGAAGUGUGACCUUAGAGCCCAUUGGUUGGUAAGAGAGAAAGAGUACUAGCACCACUAGGUUUGAAAGAAAGAUUCUACUGUCCAAAACAACCAGGACACAAGUAGUGGUAAAGUGGAAUCUCAUAUAUAAAGAAGUAAUUACAGAAUCAGAGGUGAAGUCGAACCAUAAAGAAAUGGGGGUCAAAUGAGAAUGGAGUCAAAACUACCACUUUGCUAUAAAAAACCUAGAAUGAGAAUGGAGUCAAAACUACCACUUGCUCCCUUUCCACUCAUGGCAACGUACUAACUAACAUAUAAUAAGAUAGAAUUCAUUUUCUAGGGUUUGUUAUACAGUGUGUGUAGAGGGGAGCGGCAGGAGCGGAUGUAUGAAUUCAACAAGUCAGUUGGAAACCCGCUAACGGAAUGAAACCACGUUAGGUCUACUCAAUAAUCAGCAGUGGCUAAAGGGAGAGUUGUUGGCAUUCCUCAUCAACAUCAAUUAUAUUACAUGUGUGUGCUCGAUAGAUAAAAUAAGUUAUAUUACAUGUGUGCGCUCGAUAGACUCGAUAGAAAAAAGAAGUUCAAUCAGCUUCUGCACUGCACUCGACUGAAUCCAUUCCAUGCGUUGGCAGAGCUCGGGAAGUCAAUAAUUUGAGCCAGUUGACAUAGGUAUGCCUCAUUCAGUUAAAGCGGAAGUGGGGGCGAGGCAUAGAAGCAGUUUGAAGUCCAGUCUCAAUCAGAAAGUAUUGUUUCGGGUGUUGGCUAAAGUGCAUCUACCCUUAACUCGUCUUCUCAAGCUUAUGUAUCAAAGCCAGUCAGAGAUUUAGCACCCGAUCUUGACUCUAUACUUCAAGUUUCAGAAUAUCUUGCAGUUUAUGGAACUCUACUCACCAAGCUAACCUUAGCAAAGAAAGGCAUCGCAUCGAUACAUACACCCUAAAUCCCCAAAGGCCUACAAACGAGGAGGUCGCGGUACGGUGUGAGCAAAGAUCCUUGACGAACAGGUAAUCCAAAAAAAAGAAUCCGUAAAUCCAUGGAAUUUGUUGAUGGGACAGUAACUCGAUUGAGUCUCAUAAUGAAUUGCGUGCAUGCGCGGUAUGCUCUUCUGUCUGUCCUGUAUUAGUAAAGAGUGAAGUAGUCGCCUAACUGUCCACUGGCCCUAAACUAGAUGGCAUGGGUAGCGGUCCUUCAUCCGUUCUGACUAUGCGCGCAUAUCUUUGAUUCUUAUGGGUAGCUAUCUUGCCUUCUUCCAUAAUGUACUAGCGCUCCCGUCACGUCCUGGUUAAACGGUAUGCUGUAGUUUGCUUGCUCACUCUAUGAAACAAUAGGCUUGAAGCACCCGAACACAGGACUAGUUUGCAUCAACCCCGGUAGCAUCCUUUAGCCUGAGAUACCCGCAUGUUAGAUCUGAGGCAGCAGAAUGGCUAGUAGGGCCUGCUUCUUAUCUAUAAAAGAAAGGGAAUGCGCUAGCAAUUAUGAUAUUCUAAGGGCCUAUUGAUAUGACUGAUAUGACAGAUAUGACAGAUAUGACAGAUAUGACUGAUUUAAGAGAUUUGCUGUUGAAUACCCAAUGGAAUCUCUCCAGCCUAUAAGAUUGCUUGUUCCCCGAAACACCCAUAAGCAUUAGCACAAGGGCGAACUCACCCCACCCCUAGAUUCGAAUAUCUGAUUGAUGUCGGCACCGCAUAACUCCAGUAAGCGCAACCAACGGGUAGCUCGAAGUAGGAAGCUUCUGCCAUUGCUUUAAGAGAAUCAUCUUUAUGGGUUGGCAGCCUCAGGUACAGAACUAACAUUAGCUAAAUUGGGGCGGAGCAGAAGUCAAUGCGCGGUGCGGAAGUAAGUCAAAUAGAGAUUUCUUUCUGGAUUUCAUUACAGGUGUGCUACAGUUCGACCUGCCUUAAAAGACUCAAAAGAUGGGUAGGCUUGGGUCAUUCCAAUUGACUAGCUAAUAGUUACACAUCAUACAUGUCUUGGCGGUUCAUUUAGAAUCUCCUUAUAUAUGAAACAAGACUUCACCGAGGGAAAAGGCUCGCUACCGUUUAGCUCAACUCCCGAAAGCAUCUAUUGUACUAACUUCGUUAUGACUGUUUAUUGGCUGCCGCGUAACAUUAGUAGUUACUUGGCCGCCUAGAUCGGCUUGGUCAUUAGUAGUUGCUUGGUGCCUGAAACCGAGUAUCUAAGCAAAGAAUAUGAGACUCCCUUCCAUACCUAACAAAGGAAGUGCAUAGUUGACAGCAGGGGUGGGCAGACCGAUGCUAGUGCUGGGCGGAAUACAACCACUAAAUCCAAGACUUAAUCCAGUGCUUCCAAGGCUUCAACCCGGUAGUCCAAGAACCAAGCCAGUGCCAGCAAGACUGAACCGAGGGAGUGACAGAGUGGAGCUAGGUAAUAUGAGACUGCAACCAGUGCUACUCAGAAUGGAGCUAAGCAGUAUCGGAAUGGAGCCAGUAAGGGAUAGAAUUCCAUAGGUACUCGAAAUAGCGCAUUCCUUUAAUGACUAGUUGAAUUCCUUUACUCACUAGUUCCAUUCAGACUUGAUAGUGGCAUUACCCUUAGGCAACAGACCUUAUUCACUUAUUAUUGCAGACCUAGCUCAGCACUAUGGUUCUUACCUGAAAGUGCAUUUAUUAGUGUUUAAGGGCACCCGGGAUAUGUAUUCUAUCUCUUCCAUGGGUAACACUCUCACCUGAACUCAUUCACUCCCCGCUUAAGAUCUUUAUUCCCGGGUAUCAAGGACAUAGGCAGAGGAAAACAAAGGGUUAGUUAGGUCUACUCGAUCAUAGGCAAGAGAGGUUGGGGCUGGGGCAAGGGAUAAAGCUAGUUCAAUGUUCUAACGAGUUAUUCCGGAAUCCUAUAUUAUACCAUUUCUUUGAUACCUUAGGCUCCGGCGGCUACUAAUACUUCUUGAUUUCCUACUUACUUGUUCAAUUGGUGCAAAGACAGAACCCCGAGUGAAAUCCGUUAUUGAAUCCGAAAACAGGACAAUUAAGUUAGAUGAGAUGCUCUAGCUCUAGUAUUGACUGGCAAGAAGAUAACUUGAUUAGUUGGACAGAGGAGAGGAAUAGAGAGAUACAAUCAAUCCAGUGCGGGUCGGGUCAGAAAGGGAAGCACUUAUGGAGGUCGGGUCGGGUAGGUAGGAAAUACUAGUGAGGGUUCAUUCCUCUGUUACUAGGCUAGCCUCUGUUACUAGGCUAGGAAGUCAGUUACUAGGCUAGGUAGUGGUCCUGUCGAAUCUGUAUUAGUUGCCCUAUUAAGUCGGAGUGGUGAGUUUACAGAGGUCAGAGGUGGAUGAGCCUUAAGUUUCAUAGGUCAGUUAUUCUUAUUGGAAUACCGAUCCAGUUCUUGUGAUAGUUGACUCCCUUGUGUCAGUUGCCAGAGUAGAGGUCGGGUUGGUAACUUCUGGUAGUACUGGCUAAGUAGUACUUGUGUGAAGCAAUGAGUCAAUAGAGAAAGAGAACGACGAGAACCAGUAAGUCGACAGUCGUUGCUUGGCCCCUUUCCUAACUUAUGAACAAGAACAGGAGCUGGAAGGUAGAGACCAUAGGAUAAGAAUUCAGCAAGUCAGAAUGGAACUGAACUCUGAACGGCGUAGUCAAAGAAUUAAUAUAGUUGUCGACUUGGCCCUCUCUUUGGAUUUGUAGUAUACGCUUUGCCAGGUGCUGGUAUUUCAUUUCACUCCUAACCGGUCAGAAACUCUGUUACUUCGGACUCCUGCACUAGUAUACGCUUGGCCCCUAUUCUUAGAAAACCUCUAUUCCCGCUUCUUAAGCACUAACUGACUUAUAUAAGAGAUGAGAUGAGCCAGAGUCGAGGGAGAUGAGAAAGCAUCUUGUUUAGAUGAGCCAGAGUUGGAUGAGCCUCAUUCAGUUAGUAAAGACAUCAAUUGUUAGUAAAGAUUCAAUCAUAUCUCCUAUAGUAAAGAUUCAAUUAUAUCUCCUAGGCUGAAACAAAUAAGUAGAAGAGACAACCAACCACUUUUUACCGAUGAAUCAAUUUGAUCAAAUCAUAAAUAAACCAGAAAGCUCGUUCGAGUUAAACGAUACCGAAUAAGUAGACACACAGUAUACAAAAAGCCAUACAAAUUAUAUCUGUUAUUAUUAAAGAUAGCGUUUAGAAAGAGAGAAGCUCCACAGGGUCGGGGUGAACACUUAUAAGAGUUCGGUUCGGGGUUAACUCAUCGGUAAGAACCAAGACACCAAUAUUGGAAGAACAGAAAUGAUCAAAACCAUCAAAUCAAAGAAAUGAGAAAUAUUUCAUAAAGUAGAAAACUACUCGGAAAUUACUACCCGAAGCUGCCGCACAACAUUAUAAGUUGCUUGGCCCCUACUUCAUUCUAUCUGUUAUUAGUAAGGAUUUUGUUGAGAAAGAGAGAAGCUGCUUUAAUAAGAGAAUAGUUGGAAGUUGCCAGAGCUCGGGUCUAUUGGAGGUCGGGUCGGGCCUUCAGAUAGAGUUAGCUCCGGUCUGUAAGGGAAGCAGUUCAUAGUUGUAAGAGAGGAGCCUUAGCCUUGUUCAACUGAUUGUCUUUCUUUAUCCGUGCAUUAAAUCAAUCCUAUGUUAAGUUCUAGUUAUUUUAUGAUACUGUUUGUGUACUGAGCACUUAUGUCUCCAACACCUCUGAUAGAGAGUUAUAGGCUUUCCUCACAUAUAAGGGGAGUGGAAAUCCAUCUUUUUAUCGUCCUUGUUUCUCAAUUCCAACAGUGUUAAGUGAAAACCAUUCUUUAGUUCGAUACCGGUAAGUCAACUAGUUCAAUUAGACCUCGCUUCAAAGCCGAAUCUUGACUCGCUCCUCUCGCUACUCGCUACAAAUAAAGAUGAAAAAGCACAACUACUGGUUUCAGGGUAAACUAGGCAAGCAACUACUACAAAGGUUCCAUUUUAGUAAUAAUGUAUUAAACUCCAUUAUUAAAGGAAGGAGCUCUGUCGAUAGUCUUAGAGAGAAGAAUGCCCAGUGCCUGUUCUAAAGUAGUAAGUCGGGUUGCUAGUUGUUUAGAGUAGCGAGUUUCUUUCUGUGACGGAUUAUAAUAAGGGUUCAAUUCAGAACUUCAAUACCAGAGGACAGGUAGGCGAGAGGGAGAGUGGAAUACCGGUAGUACUAUGGCGUAAAGGUCUAGGUCAUCUGCUUGUGUUAAGCAAAGAAGGUUUCCAUAUCCUUUGCAUAUCCUUUGUUAGCUUUUCCACUCCUAUAUUAUAGAUUAUCUUAUUAUAGGAUGACUAUUAACCAGACUGAUACUAUUACCACGGAGACUUAAGCGAGCAAGGACAGGAACCAAACACCUAACAACAAGACUUAUACCACGGCUUCCAAGCCUGAUACUGAUGCUUCUAAGUCCGAUGCUGGGUAGCUCGGGUCUCUGUUUAAGGGUAGUAAGUCCGAUGCUAGGUAUUGGUACUCAGAUUGAUGCUCUGUAGCUGGGGUCUUCAACUCACUCUAAAAGCUCCUACCGCUUUUCAGCUCGCUGACGCGACACGUUAGUAGUGUCUUGUCUAGUAGUUGCUUGGUGCCUGAAACAGGGUAGUUAAAGAAUGGAACCAGUAAGUAGUAGACUCAAACCGGUGCUGGGCAGACUGUUGCUAGUGCCACUGAUUCCCCGCUGCUAGGUUAAGAAUCAAACCGGUGAGUGACAGAAUGGAACCAGUCAAUCCAAGCCUAAUACUGAUGCUACUGAGGCUCAAACCCAUGCUUCCAAGCCUGAUUGCGGUGCGGGUAUACUCGGACUUAAACCAGUGCCCCUCAGGAUUGACCUCAGGAGUGCAAGAAUGUAGCUAUUGGGUGUAAGGCUUAAACAGGUGCUUCCAAGGCUGAUACCGUUGCCGGGCAGGCUGAUGCUAUUGGUACUCGGAAUGUAGCUAGUUAGUAUGGGACUGAUGCCUAACAACCAGAACCAGUGCCUAGCAACGGAGAAUGGAGCUAUUGGUAUUGAUUCUCCGUAUUGGUCACUCGGGUCUCUAACCACUACCGGCAAGAAUGCAACCACUGCAAAUAAGACUGAUGCGGUGCCCACUAUUCCUGUCGUUAGGGUAGCUACUUCAGGUCUUAAACCAUUGCUCGACAGACUACAACCGCUGCAUCCAAGGCUUAAAGCGGGGGUAGUGAGAAUGCGACUCGGUAUCGAAAGAACCAAACAAGGGAGUGAAGGACUGUAGCUAGGUAGUUUAAGAAUAGAACUGGGGCUAAUCGGUCUGAUGCCAGUAGUUGCAGACUGAAGCUAUGUAGUUAGAGAAUAGAGCUAAGUCGACUCAGAACCAAAACAGUGAAUCCAAGCCUGCAGCUAAUAGUAGUAAGCCCUAAGUUCGUAGCUAGUAAGCCCUAAGUGUUGAGUAAGUCCUGUGUCCGUAAGACUCUUCGGUCGGGUAAGCCCUAGUUCUGGACUAAAUCCUUACUAAGAACAGUAUAAUUUGCUAUGUCUGUAUGAUAGAAAGGAGCAACAGGCUAGGCAGAAGCACUAACUAAGUUGAGUUCAAAGAGAUGGAAUGGAGUAUUUCUGGGCUUGAGUUAGAUGAGAAAACCAAUUGAGUUAGAUGAGCCAGAAGAUAGUUCUCGUUGUCAGAGGUAAGAGGUCAUAGGUGUAUAGGUAUGGGAGAGUAUCUAGUAUAACCCAUGUGUCUAGUUUAGGGGUAGGUUCGGGAAGCAGUUAUGGAGGUAGGGUCGGAAUACAGAUGCUGAAUUCACAGUUCUGGUUUCAUCAUAUCUUAGAGAAUAGCCUGAUGAAUAAAAUAGGAAGAAAUCAAAAAAAAGAAGAAAAGUCGACAUCUUUAUCAUAUACAUACUCAGUAGGGAAAUAGUAGGGAAAUAGUAGAUAAUUCUAUCUCUUCUUAUUAAAGAAACCAGUGGAAUCUCAAGUAGUGGUCCAGUGCUAACAAGCCUGAUGCGGUGUCUACUGAGAAUGCACCUAAGGAGUUACAGACUGAAGCUAUUGGUAAUGAUUCUCCGCAUCUAUAGUAUAAGUAGUCAAGGAAGAUUGGGAACCCCAAUACAAAAGGAACUAAUGCCGCAGAUAGGAAAGACAUAGACUGGAAGCCCACUUACCACUCGUACACUUCAAUUCAAUGACUUACCUCGUACACUUCAAUUCAAUGACUUACUUCACCUACCUUUCCACAUUCUAACUACCUGAUACUUUACUUACGAACAUUUAGACCUCUUGUCCGAGCAAGACUCAGUCCUAAGUCUAUGCAAGACUCCGUUUAGGUAUAGGGAGUUCCACUAGUUCUAUUUGAAUAGCCCAUUGAUACGCUAAAGAUGGUUGGCAUAUUAAGCUAUCUUUCUUACCAGAGUAUAAGACCGCUCCCUUCUUAUCGGCUCCUGAUGUAGCAUUCAUUCGGACCAUUCCACGUUUGAUUCUUUCUCUCAGGGAUACCUAUGGCUCUUCCACCUAUGUCAACUAUGAACUUCAUGAGGCUCAUCUCACUCAAGAUAUCCCUCUGCUAUGGCAACUCAUUCUUUCAUUCUACCUUCCGAGUUUGUCUCUCACUUUCCUACUUGUGAGAUCAAUUCCUUAUUUAUACUUGGAUUAUCACACCUGUAAGUUGGAUUCUAUUUAUCCCAUCAGUAAGACCAUACCUGUAAGUGAGAUUCUAUCGCAGUGGCGGACAAGGUUCCUAACUAUAACCGGUUUCGGAGGAGUAUUUUACUAAUACUCGCGCAUAGGAUCUGUACAUCGACGUUCCACCAUUGGAGUAGUGCUUGAUUCUUUUCUUGCCGGUAUUGUUUCAAUUCCUGUUAGCAGAGGAAACAUUCCCUAUUAUGUAAGAUAAAGUACGAGAAGCACCAGUUGUAUCCUUGUUGUCAGUGGGGUAAUCCCCUUGAAGUCUCUCUUUUCACCCCAGAAUGCAUUUGGAACUAUUCUAUUAAUAGAUGCGCUAGCCUCGUACUCAUAAGCAGUAAAGCAAGGGCAGCGUAGGUGAUAGUUUCUUUCUUCCAGUUUUGUUCCAUUCUUCUCCUACAGGGCUUAGGUCUGCUACUUAUCCCACUUAUGGUAUUUGAUCUAUCAGCCUAGGUUCAAUUCCCUGUUGAUAGUUCAUCAAUUGUUAGAUGUACUAGCAAUUAUGUAUUAUGGCCUAUGUUUUGUAUCCGGACUUAUAAGUUGAUUCCCAUGUCAAGUAUUGAUUCCCAUUUGCUAGUCCAAGCAUUAAAAGCAUCAGUAUCAGUUUGAUAAAACAGUAAAGUAGCCUGAGAGCUAGUCAAUUAAGUAAUGGAGGUAAGUAGCUAAAGGGCCCAGACUUAAGAGAAGGGAAGGGGAGAGAGAAUUAGAUGCAAGUUGGUGGUAGGCUAAACAUCAUAGGAGUUAAGCGCCCAGGGAGGUAGAGUUACGGAGGCGAACUACAGAACAAAAGUGAUCAAUUGAAGAAUAAGAGAAAGGGCUAGCAGGCUAGGAAGCUCCUAAGUAAGGUUUUCCAGGUCGGUAGCUCCAGAAAGAAAGUAAGUAGUGGGUCCUGUGUUCGAGGGCGAGCUAAAGGAUAGUAGGGGAGCUACAUAAAGUCAGAGUCUAAUCCUUGGAGGGGAAAUCCGGAAUGCAAUGAGCAAUACCUGAGAAUGAAAACAGGCAAAGGAAGCCUAAAAGCAAAGAGCGGUAGGCUUAUAGCGGAAGGGGUCUUAGAAUUCAAGCAGUAAGCGCUAGACUUAACCCAAAGGGGGGUUCCGUUGGUGCCCCGUAUAGGUGGAGCGCAAGAGGUGCACUAAAACCUGAGAAACAGUAAAGAAGGACUAAAAGCCAGUAAAGCAAGGAUCUGUGUCGGGUGAGAAAGCAGUUCUCAAGUAAUCCCUUGUUUCAUCCCUCUUUGCGCCGAGAUCAGAUGCCGGGGGUGCAGAAUCGAUGAACCAACCUAAGUGCUCAAAGAAUUAAGAGCUAGUGAGGAAGCGGGAAGGGCCAAGCUACGGUACCAGUAUUUCAUUGAAUACCUUAACUCUAAAGUGACUUAUUGUCUCCCUUACUUGUUCAAUAAAAUGAUGUUGAUUCUGUUACUAAGCGAGUUGCUUGUCCGAUGCAAAGCUCUUUCUGGACAAUAUUCUUUAUCUGGUGUGCACAAGAGAAAUACGGAAUUUCCUCUCGCUGUAGCUUUUCCGGAUUCUUAUCUUGCAGACAAUACUCAAACUAAAGAUUCUCUUAACGCAACACUCGAACAUCAUGUCAUUGAAGAUUACCUACCCUUUUUUCUAUACGAAACACCCCUAAACACAUUGCUGACUGCUGGCUCACUACUUGAAGCUCACGUUGGUCGCACACCAAACGAAACAGGCGUUAACACUUAGAUAUAGAGUCAAAUCUCAAGUCUGGUAUCAAGAGACUGGUCUAAUGUACACUGUGCUUCAGAAGGAACAGAAUCAGAAUAAUACGCAGCAUCAGCAGCAUCAGCAGUUGCUCAUAAAAUUCUGCAAUUGGAUUCUGUCCUGUCGACUUGAAUUGUACUUUGGCCAACUCCUUUCCUUUCUUUGGAAUCGGAUCUCGGGCCUAGCAUGACUUAACGCUGAAGCUUGAAACUCGUUAACGGUAGCUUUAAGAGCAAGUAUAGUUUCGGGAGCUGCUGAUUCAUCUCGUAAUUCUUCUAUCGUGGACAAGAUAGGUCAAGUAAAUCACUCCACUGAACUUGAAGAACCACUUGCUGCUGACUAUUGAACUCAACUCUCUGAAUCGACAACACCGAGUUCCACUGGGCUGGGGAUGAACUUAGCGCAUCAAAGCCUCGCACCAAACCUAUCUUUUAGUAUUGUCUUAUUUUAGUCAAACAAAUAAGUAGCAUUCAUAAAUAUACUCAAUUGCCUUAGCUAUGAAAUUAGUAACAUUGCUACAUUGCCUAGGAGUUGCUAAGUAUAUAAAAACCAUUAGCUUCAUUUUUUGCACAGUGAAACUAGUAACAGCAGCAAUUGGAUUAGUAACAAUUAGUAACAAGUUUCCUCGGUGCCAGGUCCACUCUUUCUUCUCAGGUGCCAUGGAAUUCUUUGUUGAAAGUGGAGCUCUUGUUCUAGGAUCAUCAGCAGACAAGCUAACCUUAGCAACUCCCUGAAUUAAGUAGGAGCACUAGGUAACAAGCAGACAAGUGGACUUAGCCCUGUCUUAUAGGCUUCCAAUUCAUUAUUUCGCAUCUAUUUAUAUUUCCAAAAGAAAAGAAACUAGAUUGAACUGCCCCUACCUCGACUCUGGCUUGCACUGAUACGUAACUGCUCUGGCAAGUAAGACCCGGGUUUUGGUAAAAAGUCUCUUUGUGUUCUUGUGGAAUACCGAGUGAAACUAGCUCUAAGUAGGCCAGGGAAGAAAGAGACAAUAGAAGCUAUAAGUACUAAGAUGUGGUUCCUGCCGCUACACCGAAGAACUAUUCACUGACGCUAGAGAUUAGGACUCCCAAGAUAAGGACUUGUAGCAAGGUAUACUUAGCCAGUACUACCAGGGCUACCGGGAUGAUCUCGUCGACCUAUACUAGAUGAAUUCUUUGACUACAGGGCUCCAUUCUUACAUUGGGGAAUCGGUGGGAAUGUAGCUAUUGGUUAAGGCUUCUACGGACUAGUUCAAUUCCUUUACUCACUAGUUCCAUACUACUUGUUAGUGGUUGCAUUCUUACAUGAUCUAUAAAGGGGUAAGGCCGUUACUCCCUAGCUUCACUCUUCAACUUAGCAGCUCCACCCUUUGAUCACCCGGUUUCGUUCUUGGACUCGGGUCGGAUAGAAAUGAUAAUAAGGCAUUCCCUAAUUGCAUUCCUAGCAACACCGGUAUCAGGCUUGCUCACCUCGCUUUCAGGCUUGGAUUCACUAUUUCCAUUCUGAGUCUUACUGGUAGGAUUCUUAGUACCUAGCGAAGCGUCCCAUACUCGCUACCCUUGCUUUCGUUCUAUCACUACCUCGUUUCAGUCUGAUUGGAGUGAGUUUGAUUCACCAAGCAACUACUAGACGCCAAGCAACUACGGAAGUAGUUGUGCGGCAGUAACAACAAUAGGGCCAAGCAACUACUAAUGUUGCGCGGCAGGGCCGCUAGAGUUCCCCAGUUAUUACUAGUUAUGUGUUCGACCAAGCAACUACUAAUGACCAAGCAACGGGACAAACAACUGCUAAUGUUGUGCGUCAGCAAUAGUCAGAAGUCAUAACGAAGUUAUUACAGUAUCUGUGCUCGGACGUUGUGCGGUAGGAGCCUGAGCUAAACGGUAGCGAGUUAAAAGAGCGUCAGCGAGCUGAAAAGCGGUAGGAGCUGAUUGUUAGGCUUACUACCCUGACUUGAAGUCUGCCUAGCUCGGGUUGAAGUCUUAUCUACUACCCUACCCUGGAUGCACUGGUUUUAAGGCUUCCACUUCAUGGUUUGAUUCUGUAACUCCUACUAGCCUGCCUCUAUGGAAUCCGUUCACAUAUAUAAAGAGAAUCUAUCAGAUUAGAGGGCCAAGGGCCAAGCAACGGCGCAAGCCGCUGCGCGGCAGCAACAAUAAUAGAUAUUACAAGUUAUAAACAAGUCCUGUGUUCGCGUUCCGCGGCAGGAGCUCUCUAAGGAUAUGGAAAACUUCUAAGCUUAACACAAGCAAACAGACUAUAAGGGCCUCAACUAUGGCUCUCAUCUAAUCGCUCCUCUCUUGCAGCUAUUAACUUCAUUCUUAAAAACAUAGCAAGUGGGCAAGCAUCGGCAUACAAUCAGUUCACUAGGCAAGCUUUUACUAGAUGCGGGCCAACUGAUUGGGAACUAUAUUCUUUCUGUGCCUACGAUGUUACAUUCUUAAUAUUAUACUAACCGGUCUUAAACUCACACUCGAACAGGACUACCAGUCUUCAACUCUCACUCGAGCAGCGGAUUCUUUAGCCUCUUAUUCUUACCUUCACCCAGAGGACUCUCCACUUACUUCAAAACUCACUACUAACUCUCCCUUUGCUUCAAAGCCUUUUCACAGGACUUGGUCACCAAAUACUUCUUUCAACAAGCUGCUGUCUCUGCUCUACCUAACUAAACAAGCGUAUACUACUACUCUGGUAUUUCACUAACCAAGCUACUACUCCAAAUUCUCUGUUCUUAUUAAGGAUAACUGAUUCACCGACCUCGACUUAAUGCUCUUUUCCCUCUGUUAGUGCUAGAGUUACAGGCAAUUCCAGUCGACCAGAAAGAGAGGUAGGCUGGUGCAGUACAGAGAGGUGGGUUGGUGCAGAGAGAAUACGGAGGUUGGUGCUUCCUCAGCUAAUGCUAUUCGAUCGGACUCAGUAACGGCAUCCUACAUUAGCCGACAACAAAGGUAAAGCCAAUCAAUCACCUAAAACCUACUAGAUACUUAACAAGAAAUGGAACAGACCUGAUUGCUGCUAAUACUGAUUCUAUUACUCUACUACUAGUUGGGGCAAUAACUAGACUCACAGCUUCCCCUUUCCGACCCAACCUUCAAUAGACCCGAGCUCUGGCAACGAGUACAAAUUCUUAUCCGAUACCUCUGGCACCCGACCCGACCUCCAUACUUCCUCUUUUGUAUUCCUCUCCUCUUCUCUUUGAACUCUGUCUCCUUAACUCCCUAGUCAUUCACUCUGUAGUCAAAUCAUUCCACUAGCUACUCUCAACUACACUGGAAACUUUACCUCGCUCCCGAACACAGGACUUGGUUAUAACUAAUCAUAAACUACAGGCUCCUCUCUGGCUCUGUCAACGCCUUCUACUUACUAGUUGGAUUCUGAACUGAGCUUCUUUCACUGUCAACUACCCACAAAGUCAGUAACCCAGCCUAGCCUAGUCACUUCAUUCCACAACUACCCGCCAAGCCUACAACUACAGGUGGAUAGGUAAGUUUCCAAGAGGUUAAUAAGAAUAAGUCGAACAAGUAAGGCUUGUAGAGCGGAGGGGUUUUCUAGUUUGUAGUGGCAUACUACUAUAAUAGAAUAUAGGAUCUAGAUGCCGAGUUCAAUCUAGUGGGUAUGGUGGUUGUAGUCUGUUUGCUAGUAGCUCCAUCCUUGUCAGCGGUUACUCUAUUCCAGUGUCUCUUGGUUCAGUCUAAUCGGAUACUCGGGAAUUCUUGUUAGUUCCUCUGGCCUAAGAGACCUAGUUGUUUGCUUGAUUCCGAUAGUAGUAUAGUAGCUUGCCGGUGUUUGUGGAAGCACUUGCUCAAUUCCCAGUUCCCAUUCCGAUGUAUCUUACUUAAUCAGUUUGAUUCCGGUAGUAUAGUAAGUGAAAGCAUUAGAGGCAUCAGCUCAGCUCUAUUCUAUUUUUGAGUAAGGCGUAUAAGGAGUCAGGCUUGGUUUACUCUUUCCGGUAGCUCAAUUACAUCGACCCUUGGUAUCGGUGAUUCAAUUCAUUACUAUAAGAUAAAGCACGAGAAGGCAGUGCAGCCAGUAGCGAAAGAAUCAAAGUAUAAGGCAAGGUUUGGCCAAGUAGCUACUGGGCAGAACGAAAGUAAGCCUUAGAGGCAUUAGCGGAAGCAGUAGCGAAAGCCUUAGAAACAGCAUUGAAAGCUGGACUUCUUAGUUCAAUCUAUCAGGUGGUGUUGCACUCGGAUAGCUGUGGUUCAAAUCUUUGUUUCUAUUAUAUUGAUUAUUGAUUAUUGGUGUGAGUUAGCAGUUUUCAGACAAAAAAGAAAGAGUUUCAGAACGAAGCUAACGACCAAAGCUCAAAUAAGGAAUUGAGGUCAGGGGCCUAAGAGCGAGAGUAAUUACUUGCCUGAGCUUGAGUGUCUUGGUCUUUACAGUUAGCUAAAGAAUCCAAGUAAGUAGUAACAAAACGAGAGAAAGGAUCAACACAAUGCUGCUAAUGAGCAGGGCUAUAAGACAGUCGCGUGUGGGUUUGAGCCAAGAAGAUAGAGAAUCAAAGUAUCGAUUUAAAGAAGUCAAGGUAGUCUCAUAGGAAGUAGGGAGGUCGGGUGUUGCCCAAAGUAAGGGUUGUUGACUUACUUGUUGUGGUGGUGAACUUCUCACUACGGGCAUUUGUAGCAGUUGCUUUGUUAGUCGUUACUUGGCUCAUAGCAAAUAGUAGAGGACCGGAUUGACUUGCCUAUUUGCCCACUUGUCUAUCCGUGGCUUGGUCAUUAGUAGUUGCUUGUUGAAUCAACCUAGUUGUCGACUUUCCUAGGAACACUAGCGGCAGGAGCUUCAACUGUGUUCGGCUUCCAAGCCCUACUACUUAGCUUCGAACUGACAUUAAGGCAUUGUAGUCUGACUUGCCGGAUACGGGAGACUAUUCAUUUAGUCGGAUUAUUCCUGGCCCGCCAUCUACUUAAUCGAAUCUUGACUACCCGCUGACUUCCCCAUUGCUUGCUUUCAGUCUAUUACUCCCAACUACUAGUCCCACUCUACUUUAUCCUAGGCUCGCUCUACAACCUAUUAGUAUGUCCCUACUUGCUUUAAGGCUUUCAGCUCCUUGCUUUUAUUCCCUAGAUAUGGAUUCGGAUCCUGACUUUCUUUAUGGUUUCAUUACUUAGAAGUGGAAUUCCCUAAGUGCAUAUUUAGCAUGGGAGGAACCAUUGCAGUGGAAGAAGCGAUGUAACAUCCCGAAACGCCCAAAAAAGAAAUUCGUUAGUUACGAUUUCACUCCUAUACUUAUGGGGUGAAUUCUAUUCGGAUCGGGUGAUAUUCUAAUCCAGAUCCCAAAACACUAACACAGUUAAUAGCAUGCCAGGCGUGCAUCCUGACUUUGCAGUACAAUUCUGCUACGCUGGGGGAAUGUUCUGAUGCUGUGAAAGGGAUUUAUGUCUUUUAACCCCGCUCUUCAUUCUAUGACAAGUAAGUGCAAUUCCUCUCCUGGCCCGUGUGGGUUCCCCUUCUUUUACCACUGUGUUUCAUUAUGUCCUGCCGCCGCAAGGGUCCCUAACGAGAGACACCCUUUAUUAGUUAUAGAACUCAACUAAGAAGUAGAAGACUCAACCAAUAAGCCAAGAAUGAAAGUAAGGGGGAAGGUUCCCCCGCAAAGAGAGACAAACAAACUCGAGCAUAGGCCUUGAAGGAACAAGUACAAUAAACAAAUAACUAGAUACAGGAUGAAACUAAGGUAGCAGAGGCACGGAAGCGGGAGUCAAAGCCAAUAGUGGUCGUUAGAUUCCAAUGUAAGCGGGUAAGUUCCCGUUUAAAGAAAGUCUAUCUACGGUCAGUAGUUCAGUCGUUGAGGACCAAUCCGUUUGAUUCUUCUCAUUGGUUAGUGGAUUUCUAUCUUUCUAUGUGAGUAGUUGAUUCUAAUAGCACCAGUUCGAUUCUCCCAUGUUUCCACAAUAUUCAAACAUUCUUCCUUAACUAAUAAAGAUAUCUGUGAUAAAUGAACUAUCACAUAACUUACUUUGUUUUAUGGGAAAUAGAUCAUUUAAUACCAACAAGUAACUACUAGAAUAUAGUCAAGUCAGAAUGAAAGCGAGUAAGGACAGACUCACAGUGGAAGUAAAGCAUGCAAGUAUUACCAGUAGGUAGGAGCGUCGGGCUGGAAAGGAAAGCUUCUAAGGUUGAGCUACAGACUUUAGGGUGGUAGCGGCAUGUUAACAAUCGCCCAUAGGAGUUGAAAGCAGUAAGCGUAGGGAAGUAUACUGGAAUGGCAGCCCUAUAGUGGAGACAAAGAAGGAAAAGCGGUCUUGUUAGCAGCGGAGUAAGCCUGUAUUCAGUGUUCCAUCUUUACUUGUUUGUAGUAGAGCGUUGAUAUAGUAGUCAAAGCCUGAGUUCUUUGUUUCAUUGCUUCCAUUAGUAGCUCCGUUCUUGAUAGCAGUGGUUGGGUUCUCCAGCUCUGUUUUCAUUCUCAUCAGUAGCAGUUGGGUUAUAAGAAACACUAGUGAGAUUCUAAGAGUCAAGUAAAUGGUAGUAGCUAUAGUGUUGCUGGGCAGUGUCAUAGCUAGUGUAGUCACAUUCUUAUGAGUAGGUGUGCUGGACCAUACCUGUAUUCUUUAACUAGCCACUUCGAUUCUGACUAUGCAUGCUUUCAUUCUCCGUGUUGCUCCUUACCUUCUUGUUUAUGUGUUUUAGUAUGCCCUUCCUUGGAGGUAUUCCUCAUUGCUCGUAUCAGGCUUAUAUACCAGUAAGUCCAAUUCUCCCGCUUCUUGCUUUUAAACUGAAGCUACUGUCUUUUAUUCUUUGGUUGCUGGGCCGGAUCCUGUGUUCCUACUAUUUGUAUGUUGAUACGACACCCCUACUCUUAUUCCUUUAAUAAGGAUCUAGCCUCGUACUUUUCCUUUGCAUACCUCUACUCUACACUUACCUUCCCGGCCGCAGCCUGCCCUGUUAUUCCUAUAUGAAGUAGAAGAGUUGACUUACCUCUCGACAACCUCUCAAAAAUAGGUAAGUCAGAAUAAAACGACUAGCUAUCAGAUUGAAACAAACUACUACGCUACUCAUACAGCCUAGUAGCCUGUCCUCCCUUGUCUUAAGGCUUAAUUGCCCAACUAGAAACCUGUAUCCACACUUACCUAAGUCUAGCUCGCCCCUCCAUGAGCAUGUCCUUACUGUAUACUGGCAUGCCCUGACUUACUUGCAUUCUCGAGCUACUGAUAACAAGAGUAGAACACCUAAUGCUUUCUCUUAAUAUGGAGAAUUGGACUAGCGCUAACAAGCCUACCCUGCUUGAAAACUGGAGUUAGUGCCUUCAUUCCAACUACUCCGCGCUUACUUCUAUCCUUUAACUACGGAUUCCAAGGCUGCCCUACUGACCAACAAGUCUAACUAGAUCCCCCAAGGGGCUGGACUUGCUUUCCGACCUCUAAGCCUGCUCUACCUAAACUCCUAUUAUUACUGCCAGACAGCCACAUCUGUAUUUGCAAUAGACGAAGCCUUUCUCCACAGGGCACUAAGUGACUACAAACUCCCCAGCAAACUCCCCAGCUACCUAUUGUCAACUAUUCGCUCGUAUAGCUUAUAGAAGGACUAAACUAGAUGCGAUUACUUUUCAUGAGAUUGGGAAUAAGCUUUACUGAGAGAUUGCUCUGGCCUGAUAGAUUGAUGGAAAGAAAACGAAAACUUCCUGCCUUACUUAAGCCCCGAGAAAGAUAGAGUGCUUCCUGCAGGCUCAUUUGAAAUAUCCCUUCCCGCGGACUUAUUAUAGGGGCCUUAACCUAAAGAUGCAAUUAGAACAGAAACUGGAAUGGAUUGAACUGCUGCUAGAUACCUUAUGAAUGAAUGCAUAAGCUGGCUAAGGAGAAGAAGAAAUACCAUUAGCUGGAAUAAACAGCAAUUCCAGUUUGAUUGUCGACUCGAGAAUCAAUAAUAUACAAAUCAAGAUCUUAAGCAGCAACAGAAAAGGAUUAGAGUAAGGGUCAGACUCCAGAUCUGGAUCAGAUGUAGUUCAAAAGUAAGCAUAAGAAUGGACUGUUAUAGUUUCAUCGACUCCAGAAUCAGCAAUGUUUGUAUUGGCGCAAGGAAGGUCAGCAAGCGGGGAAGAAAGGGAAGAAGUAGUUUCAUCUGAUAGUUCGUAUAGGAGUGAAAGCCUAGGUUCUGAUUCGUAUUGAUUAAAGGAGAUCCGGAUCUGAGUGACCAGUGAAAGUAUUAGGAGCGCCAGCCCAAUUAGAAUAUAUAGUAGCUUCAGUCUUGUUGAUGACAAUAUCCGCCUUGUUAGUCACAGUUCCAUUCCCCGGUUCGAUUCUUUUGAUUGUGACUUUGAUUUUGGUAGUUCUCCCUUACAUUCCUUAACCGCAGGCACUCUACUGGAUUAGAUCAAUAAGUACAUAUCAGACUUCUACCAACAAGUCAAACUCUCUCUAUCCUAUUGCAAACCCUAGUUAUAUUUCUAUUGGGCACCGACGCCUAUGUCUUUUAAGUUGAAGUAGGAAAUCCGCCUAUAUACGCCUAUUUCUUUCAAGGAGUCAAUAAAGAAUAGAAUGUCAUGUCAGUAGUAAAGGAAUAGAACACUGCCCAGCAACGCUAUAACUACUAUUAAGAGAAAGAAAGAAACUAAUUAACCUGUUGCUCAGUCUGCCCUGGCUUACUUUCAAUAUAUAAUGACUUGAACCAUAAGUCUGGCUUUACCUAAGCUGUUUACUUAAUUAGGUACCGAGAAGGAGUACUGAUCUCCUCCACCAAGGUGUUAGUUUGAUUAGUCUAAUAGUCAAUCCGAGUUCCCAUUCCAGUUCUCAUUCCGAUGUAUCUUACUUCUAUUCUGAUUAUUAUGAGAACUUAUGUAGUCAACCAAUACAGAGGCAAGUCGAACAGGAACGAGCAGAGGAUCUAUAAAUGGAGAAUUCGAAUAAGUUAUGUGCUUGAGUAACAGGAUUCAACUCUAAACCCGCUCCCCUAGCAGUUUCAUCUAUAAGGUAGUGUUGGAUUGCCUGCUUGUAGUUUCAUUACCUGGUUUCGAGCUAUAGCCCUCUCUCUUUGAUUCUUGAUUGGCUUGAUCUUAGUUGUCUACGAGAAUGUUCUUAUGAAGCAGAAGCAGGAUAAUCUUAAGGAACUGAGAAAGUAUCGGUACAGGUAAAGGCUUUUACUUAAUCUUUCUUUUUGCUUCGUAAGACCUAUGUUCGUGUUUAAAUUCACUAACGCUACUUCUUAUGGGAAGCUUUACUCUACCCACUUCCAACUUGAUUCCUUCUUAUUGCCCAGUGCGCUACGGAACCAUAAAGAUGUUAGGCUCAAAUUAGUAUAUACUUGCUUGUUGGGUAAGAUAUCUUUGUUGGCGAUGGUGCUUCCGCUUCUUUUAUUUGCUUUCCAGGUGCUGAUGCUUCCUUUAUUGGCUUUCCAAUAGUAGGCCGAUUCAUAAAUUGUUCCAGGCUCUUAGCACCUUGCUUCUUUACUUUAAUCACACAGUCUUGCUUCUUUCUUUACCAGCUUUGCCAUAACAUUACUAUUAAUCUCAAGAUACAGAAGGAGAUGGAUCAUAAAUAGGGCCUGGGAAAAGGAGAUGGAGAUAGAAAUGGAGAUGUAUCCGGAAUAGGAGGAGAUACAGAAGAUACUGGAUCAGGAGACGGAGCAAGAGAAGACUAAUGGAAUGGAAAACAUAUACCCUAGAAUAUAUAAUUGAAAACAACAACAAUAAGAGAAUAGAAAACAAACAUAUAAGUGAGUUCACCCGGAACCAUAUCUUAUACGGGAGCUAGUUGUUUGCUAGAUAAGUUAGAAAGUAAGGUUAAGGCGGUAAAGAAGAAAGGGAAGCAGUGAAGUUUCCAGUUGCCAUAGAUAGAGGAUAUCAGAGUUUAGGUAAGUCCAGUAGUAUAGGAUCUUGAAUAGGAUCAGUGCCAGGAAAGUAGACAUCGACAAGAAGAAGAAUCAUCAACUAGAUCUGUAUCUAAAGCAACUGAAUCAGCAGGAUCUGGAUCAUCCGUUUCAGUUCCAUUCACAGUUUUCCUCGGCCCAAGAUAUGGUUUACUCCGGCGCAAAGAAAGAUUGAGUUAACGAUCGGGCAAGACGAUCUUCGUAGACUAGAAUCUCCUGGUUGACUCGACGCUACAAGUCCAGUUGCGGCGGUACUGAAAUCCAAGUGGAGUGCGAAAGUUUCGUUCAGAAGUUUUGCUUGAUAGGAGAGUUAUCAGAGAAAAAAGAUCUUGCUUAUUCGGUAUGGUCAAAGUCGUAAACAGAUUGUUCCGCUCUAGUUUCUUGUCUACGAGUUAAAGAAAGGAUUAUCAGCUGCAAACGGAAAUUCAAGUCAUGUUCCUACGGGAUUAGAUGUAGGAGAAGAAGCUUUCGGGUAAAGGUCAUACUAUCAUAUUACUGGCUUAGAAGCAGAAGCCGAAGAUAAUGACGCUCUUUAACGUGGGUAGCGGUCUCUUUUUGCUUAUAUGAAGUUUCAUCUCUUUCAGUUGCUUGUGUUGUCUAUGAUGGAAGCCAAGAAUCCCCUGUGCCAAAGUCAGUUGUAAGACGUUCUUUCACUGGAGUUCUGUCAACGAGAGAAGAUAUGCAGGGUAAAGAAGAGCGGAAUAAGAAUCCAAGUCGUCAGCAGAAUCAAGAUCAGAAACAGAACCAAGAUCGGAAGAAGUAAGCGUUAGUGAGCCCAGCCCGGGUAUAGAAUCAUUGGGUAACCAGGGGCAGAGAGAUAUGCAAAAAUGACAGUUCCAGUGAGAGUUUCAGAAUCGAAUAUAGAUUUGGUAGUUACUUGCCUAGUGUCUUGUAUGCUUGCCCGGGUCUCUGUUCUGGUUGAAUCCCCAGUUGCAUCUGUAUUUGUAGCCUGAGGUAGAUGAGCAAUAGGGUCAAGAUGUUAGGAAGAAAUGACUUAUAAGGCAAGUUUCUUAGUUUCGGUAUAGUAGAGUAAAGCCCUUUUUCACAAUGAUUAAUUUCUUUGCCUUUUUGUCACUGAUUCAUUUCUUUAAUAAGGGAGUGGAAGAGUUAGGUAACCCAGAAACAAAUGACAUUCAGGACAGAGCAAUAAAUCCAAUAAGUUGUUGAGUGAAGUUCUGCUCCUACUCUGUUAGCGCUUUUGUAACUCGCAGGAAAAGAAACUCCCUUUCUGUUACUUGUUUAUUGCUUGUUCCUAAGCUUGUUUGAUUUCUCUUUUGCUACAGGAAUGGUUAGGGCAGGGGCACACACAUCGUCUGCCUAAACUGGUUGGUGCAUUUUGGAACUGACUAAAGAAUUAGGGCCGGAUCUGAAUUACGCUUGUCUGCUAAAGUAAGUUGACUUGGCGAGCUCAAUCGGGAUCCACGAGAAGAGGUUAUUCCCUAAAUUGAAUCACUACGGAAACCCGGUAAGCUGUGUUCUUACUCGGUUCUAUUCUUGUGAAACAUCUUCCAUUUGUGAAGUAAGGGAGGGCGCCAGCCAGAGGCAAUAUAUAAGGCAAGGGAACAGCGCAAAGAAUAAUAGCUUGUUUCGACACCUCGCAUCAAAACCGGGAAGAUAAUCUUUCUACCAUACCGCUUCUUUCUACUGUUUCCUCACCUUAUCCAGCUUCGGCUUCUGAAACAAUACUUUCUUCUUACUGCUGAUGCUGAUCUAGCUUCUGCUUACUUGAGAACGGAGCUUGGCUUGAUGGUUCCCUUGCCGAAACUUCUUAGAGAGGCCUAUGGCUCUGUACUCUGGACUACUAUACUGGUUUUGGAUUACCUUUGUUGGCUACGAGAGAGUAGGGUUCAGUCGAAUAUAGAAGAUAGAAUUCAGUAGGGGACAAGUCCGUACUUUAGUCUCGGAGUCGAGGAGUCAGAAAUCAGAAUUAGUGCAAUACCUGAGCUGAGUAGUAUACUAAGCUUGCCCGUUAGCAGUGACUUGCCUCGUUGCUUGGCCCCGCUUACUAUUAUUAUUGAACCAAGGAGCUGACAAUCCAACCUCAGAUUCUCGAAUUGACUUUCCUCGCUCACUACUAGCAGGAUCGGAAGAGUGGUAAUAGGUUUCUCAUUCUUAUAUAGGAUCUAGGCCUUGUAGCGAAGUAUAAAGAUUCUUUCUUGCCUAUGUAGCUGAGUAUACAUAUUCUUUCUUGCCUUACAGAGUUGCCUUAGAAGCAUAUUAGUAGAAAUUAGUCACAGCUAAGGUUUACAGUAAAGUAAGGAGUGAGUUCAAAAGGAGACUAUACACGUCAAGGAAAGUUCACCAAAACCCGUGUUUCCUCAUAACGGGAGCCAAAAACAGGAAUGGUAAUGAAAAGAGUGGAGCGGCCCCAAAAACAUCUAUUGUAAUAACUCGUAAUAUCUAUUAUUGUUGCUACCUGAACACAAGACUUGUUUAUAACUUCCUAUAAUACUUAUUGACUGCCGCAACACAUUAGUAGUGUCUUGGCCGUCUCGCUUUUUCAUUCGCUACUACGUAGCUCAUCCCGUUGCUUGGUCGUUAGUAGUUGCUUGGCCUAUUACUGUUGCUACCGCCGAGAGCAUCUAUUGUAAUAACUUCGUUAUGACUGUCAUUUGCUGCCGCGUAACAUUAGUAGUUACUUGGCGCGCCGUUGCUUGGUCCGCGACACAUGAGUNNNNNNNNNNNNNNNNNNNNAGUGUCUUGGCUUAGUUUAUUAUUAAAGUGGUGUUUUAGGCCAUGGCGGUCUAACUACUAAGCUUGGACCCUAGCACAAGUAAAACAAAUCCAAAGAAUAUCUCUCUUGUGCAUAUAUACCAUACAUAGGAAUGUCAUCAAGCAGUUCACUGACCGCGCAACUCAUAACUAAACUCAAACUCACAAACACCGAUGAAGACAGGAGCCAGCCCAGAGGGUAAUAUUUGACACCUACGAAAUCUAUACAAUGCUUGCUGCUGCGCCAACACGAUCUCUUUGGAAUCCGACCGGCUUGGCACUGCUUUUGAUCCUGAACAAACAAGUAAUGUAAUCCAUUUCUGGCUUUUCGCCCCGAGAAACUUUCCCAGCACUGUUAAGAUCUGAUUGCUUGUUAUGAUGCUUAUCCAUCGAUCUUAUUGCUUGCUUGUUAUGAUGCUUAUCUUAUCGAUCUUAUUGCUUGCUUGUUAUGAUGCUUAUCUAUUUGCUUGUUAUGAUGCUUAUCUAUCUGAGGAAUGCCCCUUAACCUACACCUAGAAAUGAAACGUGGAUUUAAGAUCCUGCUCCUACUGCGGAUCCAUAUCCAGAUUCUAGAAGAGCCCCCCCCCACUCUUGAAACUUUCCUUAUAGGGGAUCCCCUUUGAUUAUUAAUCUGACUGUCUUGGCUACCCCUUUGUAUUGAUUGCCAAGGUGCUGAAAGCCUUUCUUAUUUCUCUUGUUUUGAGAGAACUGGCAAAAUCUAGGCAAAGCCCUUUGGUUCGGUAGGGCCGGUACUAAACCUACGGAUUCCGGGCUAGGAAAUUCUUUGAUUAUCUCGAUUGGCUCGACCAUAGCAGCCGAUCGGGACUGACCUCUCGACCCUUGCUUGGAUGUAGUGCGGGGCCCGUAUUUGUAUAGGUAACCAUAGUUCGCUUAUCCGCAUGGAUUGCUUUUUCAUAGAAGUAUGGAAAGGCUUGGAAUGGAGCUAACAAAUGUGCAAUGAAUGGUUGACUUAACCACAGGAAAGUAGGCGCAAACCAAAUGAGAGAUAUCCAUUAUGUCCAUAUUUGAUCGUAUGGUCCUAGAUAAAAGGACUAGCUUAGCGCAGUUGCUGGUUUCAUUUCAUUUUCUGAUUCUGGAGCACCUGGAGUAAUUGUUCGAUCUCUCUCUCUUUUGCUAGGUUUAUCCGAAAGAGAUCUGCUUUCUAGUCGCCUAAGGUAGACUCUACCCCUAUCUUUGCUAAAGUGAUGCUAGGCUAUACGCGUCCUCUGCUAUUCAUGAAAUCAAUAUAUGGUGAAAUCAAUAUAUGGGUGGAGCUUUUUCUUAGUCUAUGUCGGAACCCAUUUCUAUCAUAUGCGCAAGAUGGAUUCAAUUCCGUAUUUGUUGACACAGGUUUUCAUCGAGAUGGAGAGAGACCUGACCUCUCUGUAAAGGUAAGUCUGCUUUAUCCUUAGGUUCAGUGACCUGCCUUUCUUCUUUUAAUUAUCCCUGACUUUAUGGUUUUUCGGGUACCGCGGUCUCCUUAGUGCAUAUCCUUUUGUGAAUAGUCCUAAAGUGUUAUGGAACUUAUUAUUAGGGCUUUCUUAGAGCCAUCAAAGAGAAAGGUAGUAGUCCGAAGACCCCUUUAUGAAGAAGCUGGAAUCAGAUUCCGAUGAAGAGCAAGAUUUGACAGAGAUUCCCCCCUUUCUGUGAAUGAAUCAUUCCCACGCCCUUCCCCACUUUCCUCAAUCGAUAGGUCAAAGACAGAGUCCCAGUUAGAUCAAGAAUCUUGGAGCAAUUCGGGGGUACUUUACUUAGGUCUUAUAAUGAUCUUGAUGUAGAUGGUAGAGGGCUGCACCCAUAAUGAGAUAGAAUACUUUUUCUUUGUGAAAUGUAGAAGAAGAAACCUAAGGAGACGAAAGCAAAAGGAACUAAGAAGAAACCUAAGGAGACGAAAGCAAAAGGAACUAAUUAAUACACGCCCGUAAAUUGAUCUUCGUCCUCUUACUUAUUGGGCUUUAAUACAAAAUAGACGUACCUCUGCAUGACAUGCCUUCGUCAAUUUCAAUUAAACACUUUUCAUGUCAUAGAGUUUUGGAUUAGUUUCUUCUGCUCGGUAUCAGAAUCCAAAGACAGGAAUGACUCCUCUUGGCAUUCCCCACAUUGCAUCGGCGCGAUCCUCUCCAACAGCGUAAGAGCGCCCCGGGACCCGUGUAACAAAGAUCUAUUUCUUUCUUUUCUCGAUUCGUAGCAUCUGAGAUGGGAAGUAGAAAGAGAGUGGAUCGCGGGGUGAGAGUAAGGAAUGCUUACCGAUUCGUAGAUUAGAAGCAUAGUCAUAGAGUGGCGAGAUGCUCUCCCUUAUUGAAAUCAGAGGAUAUUGAUUUAUAGACUGGUUCUUAUCCAAAAUAGAUAAUACCGUACCGUAGGAACUAGGCUUGUAUUCAUUGGCAUCGCGCUACGCCCCUUAAGGUGGCUUGAUGUUCACUGUCCUCACUUCCCUAUCCCGGGGGCAGUGCUUUGAUAUGCGUCUUCAUUAACCUACCUUCGGAGAACAAGCUAGACCCCCAAUUGUCAAUGAGACUACUCUAUAGGAUGGCAAUUAUGAAAGAGAUGCGCGGAUAAGAAAUUAGCGCCUCAUCCUCAUUCCACGUGCAGGUUAUUCUUUAUUCCAAUAUCUCGGUAAGAAGCCCGGUUGUUAGGAAGGUGAUUCUUUAUUCCAAUAUCUCGGUAAGAAGCCCAAGCAAGGCCUAAUCCCUCUUGUCCUCUUCCUGGGAGAACUUGAAUCAGGAAAGCUGGCGAAACGAAAACUACUGCUGGUGCUACGGGCUGGUAUAUUCGUUUGUAAGUUCGUAUCGGGUCUUGUCUCGAUCCGUUUAUUCCCUGGCUAUUUUGUAGGCACACAUAUCUGGUAUCCAUAUAGAGAGGGCCAUACAUAGGGCUCAUGCCCAUGUGCAAUGCCGCAAGAGUGAAGAGACGGCCGUAGCUCUACUGGUUAUUAUGGAGUUGGAAGGUUACAUGUUCCCACGAACGGAAAAAGGGCCCUGAUACUAACUGGUAUAGGCCGGUCUUUCAUAUGUUUAUAACAGCCAUCCAGACUAAAGCAUUCCCACUACGGUCGAAGAGAUGAUUCAGCAGGCAAACCAACCAGAGGACAAGAUCAAUAGUAGAAUAAGGUCCAUGCCCAGCUUCCUUCUUGUUUGCCCAGAAUCAGAGGAAUUUAUAGACGGAGCUACUGUUAAGAAGCAUUCACUCUUCAUUCGCCUAGGGGUGGACGAAGACCUUUCACUACUAUAAGUAAGAUGCCUCCCACUCGCACUCCCUAUUAUUGGAUGGAACUGAGACUGUCACUAGUUUACUAAAAGGAGUACCUUCCCCUGACCUUAGGCUAUCCUAAGACCGAUCUCUUAUAUAAGUCAUUCCAUCCCUAAGAUCACAGUGUCGGAAUCAAAGAUACUUUAUUCAAAUUCAAGGACACAUCUGGAGGGGAAAGACAGAAAGAAGGAAAGAGCCUCGCACUACUUCUCAGAGAUAGCGUUAACGGAUCUAUUUCAUUUCAUAGUGCUCCGCUUCGUUCGCAUGAAGAAAGCAAGGCAAGGUGCGUUGCAAAAAUGCCAUUAGGGAAAGACCGUAGAGUUCCACUUCCAAUGCAGAAUAGACCACUCCACUUUGGCCUCUUUUUACCUAGGAACAACUUAACAACAUGGACUAGCCUGCCAGAAGCCAUAAGCAAAUAGAAAGACAGGAAGAUACUCUCUAUUCUUAGAUAAGUUUCUUGGAUUGGCUUAGGAUCUGUGCUUCGUUCCCAUCUUCUAGAUAACAUAUGGGCAAGACUAAGUGCGUCAGUGGCUAAAGGGAGAGUUUCCAGUUUCAGAAUGGAGUUUUCCCCUGUUUGACUUGACUCACCGAUCGAAAGAACAGUCUCUUAUUGUUGUGCUAAGCCUAAAGGAGUUAGAAAUGAAUGAGUUGAAUAAGCAAGGACAAGCAAAAGAAGUACCUAUUAAUUCGAAUAUGGAACUUUGUAUAGAACAACUUUGUAACUGGCAGCAAGCAGGUCUGCAAAUGGGAAUUCUGUUCUUGUUUCAUCCGUGUUUGCAACUAGAGAUGAAGCUGUUCUAAAGUAAGCAUCAAGCGCAUCCGUCCUGGAGUAUCUUGAAGUUAUAGUGUUUGUCGUAUCCCUAUCAUUGGAGUUUACCCCCGAGUUAGAGAAUUGCCUUAUUACAAUUAUCACAUUAUAGCCUACUAACUAAAGAAAUGUCCGGUGCAGAGAAGUCAAAUAGAGAUUGAUUAUUACUGGUGUGCUACAUUUGUAAGUAAUCAUUGUUUGGAGUAAAUACCCGGCCCUACCCUAUUGCUAUAGUAAUUCGCUUAUAGAGAGAGUGGAUUUGCUUGUUGAAUGGAAUCCAGAUAAGAAAGAGCUUUGUAUAGAAAGAACUCUGUAACAGGCUUUCAGCUCCUUUCCUUCGUCCGGAAGGUAAACCAAUCUGACUCGGAAAGUAACCUAACACAGCUUGCGGGACGAACUCAGUACUAUAAGAGGUGUGUUAAAGCCUCAAACAAGGAAUCUGGUGGAUCAGAAUCAUAAUAAGGAUCCGCAGGAAGAAGUUUCAAGUCGAGUUCCUGGUAAUCCUGUUGUUUAUGCUCUAGCUCUAAGUCUUGGUCUUGUGUCGAGUGUUGAUGCUGCAGUAGCUCCAAGAUAUGAAGCAGUGCCGUAUCUAGGAAAGGACCCUCAAGAUUGUGUUCAAGGCAAUAUCCAAAGAAGGGAACAAGCAAACAGGCAACUACCACCGUUGCCCUAACAUAUUAAGCGCGGUGAAGGUAAGAAGAAAUUCCAAUUGAAGCCCCAUAAGUAGAGAAUGACCUUCUUUUACUGCUUUCCGCUCCUUUCCUUGUCGAGAGAGGUGAUUGGGGUGUCUCAAUUCAGGAAUUAUAGAGCAUAACAGAACUUCAAGUAGAGGUCGAGGAAGCAAGGGGAGAAGAGAAAAGGGAAGCAGUUGACUUACUGCUUGAAUAUAGUAAGGGCAAGCUACGUAGUUAUUAGUAUACAAAGGCAAAGACAGUAAUGAACCACCUGGUAUUGAACUAACCAAGCAGAGCCCCAUUAACCAUAUAGUAAUAGUGAACACCGCCAAGCGUAUACUAAUGUUGCUAGGCAGGGCCGUUAGUGUUCAGCAUAGCUUUAGCCUACCUCUCCUGGAAGUUAUCAUUUCAUUGAGGAUUACCUGCUUGCUGGUUCAUCUGGGCAUUCUUCUCUCUAAGAUUCAACGAUCACUCUACUUUCAACAUUCCUUCUAGCUUCGUCACCAACACAUCUCUUAUUUAUUACUAUUAUAUAUGGAUACCCUGGCCCCAGUAUACUCUUAUUCUUCGCGCUUAGUAGCUUUGUCAUUAGUAUUAGUUUGUUGGUUCUGUUGCGCUUACAGAGUUUACAGCCACUGCGGAUUCUCUUGGUUUAAUGCUCCGUUACUUCAUUCCUGCAAUUUCAUCUAUCUCUGACUCUUACUGAUUACCAGCUUCUAGAGGAUCUCGCAACAAAUCAUUUCAUCAUCUAUCUCCAAUUACAUUUCAUCAUCUAUCUCCAAUUACAAUAGAUUCUCUACAAGGGCUGGCUCUAUUCCCUUAUCUUUUGAAAACCUAUACUUUUCAUUGCAUUUCCGGAUUCUCUCGUAGACAACAAAAGAAAGAAACUAUCUCGUAGACAAUGACACAAGAACUCAAUCAAGAACUCGCUAACGGAGCUCAAUUCGAUGAUUUCUGCCUGCUCGACUCGAGGGAAAGUAUGAAGUGGAGUACCAACAAUCAAGGGCUUUCUAACGUUAUAGCACUAUGGCACCAGUAUCAAGUAUAAUGCUACGUCGCAAAGGACCUACUACUGUUCUCGAAAGUAUUAUAUCUGGCAAGCUGGGCCCGGGCAACUCACUAACAGCGCUAACGGAGCUAUGUUCGCCUUUCUUUCCUGGAGCCUAGCCCUCUCCCCUCGCUUUGAUUUUCUAUAGCCGCUCCCUUGUGCCUUUCUUUCCUUGAGCCAACAAACCCACCCCUCUUUGUGUCUAUAUUAGUCUUAGGGUAGCUCUCUUCUAUUCCUUAAAGAGCAAGCUUCGGCGUUUUCAAGCAAUGCCUCUAUUCGUUCUUUAUACUCGUAGCAACAACAACCCGUCCUUUUUCAACAAGAACUACGGCUUUGGAACACACGUCAGCUGAAAUGACUUGUUCUAACGUUAUUGUAAUUGGGGCUUGUUACUUAUGGAACUCCACGAGACUACUCGGGGUCAAGCACGCAAAGAUAAAGCCAAGACAAAGGAAUUGCUGCUGAAGAAGGAAAGAAAGAAUAGGGGGAAUUGCUGCUGAAGAAGGAAAGAAAGAAUGGAGGAACAAGCUUAAGAAAGAAGGGCCGCUUAUUGGAGUUGGAUUUCUGAGUAAGCUCUUUCUCUUAUAUGAGAGUUAUACAAGAUAUCUUCAUUAAUUCAAGGUAGCUGAAGGCCAAACUCCGCCUACUUAGUUUUUCAUGCUGGAGAAGUAGAAAGUCAAGUAUGGAGCGGGCCAGGCUAUAAGUCAAAUCAAAGGUGUCUCUCGUAGAGCAAUUCUCUAUUUUGUCAGUAAAUAGUUGUUAGUGAAAUGCAAGUAAAUAAGCUUUUAGGCAAUAAAAGAAAGAAUACUAUUGAGUAUAAUGGAGUCCUUUUGUUAAGGGUUCGGCUGCUGCCAAUAAAUAUUCCAUUAUGAAAACUGGGCAGUAAGAUGACAGAAGAGAUUCUAUACGAAGCAACUUGGACCACAACUCUUGAAACACUUUAUGAAGCGCUAAGCAUAUUCCUGAAGUAGAGAACAAGCAACGGAAAGCAAGCACCCAAUUCUUGACCGCUACACAUGAGUCUAUAAUACCGCUACACACAUCAGUAUAUAAUCCGGCUGAGUAGGAAAGGCAGGAAGUGGCCAACCAAUCCAUUUCAGUGCUGUGCUGUCAAAGGCCGCUUACAUGCCACGGCAACGUUGUGCUAAAGGAGUUUUACAAGGGUAGGAAAGACAGUCUCUCUCGUAAGGUUCGUUUUUUCAACCUCUUGUUAAUGCUGGAGAAGUAGAAAGUGUUAAUGCUGGAGAAGUAGAAAGUCAAGUAUAGAAAAGAAAGCCUGCCUUGCCUCAAACUACAUUCCAUAAUGGCGCGAAACAGCGAAAACAAACAAGUGGAACAACCCGGCAACCCUGACUAUAUAUUGGAUUAGGAAACAAUGCCAUGUUAGGUUAAUAUCUCUUGUAUCAUGUGCUACUUAUUUAGAAACUUAUGAAUGGAACAAUAAGCAAGGCAAAGAAUUUUGUACUAUUGUGCUGUUCCCUUGUGCGCUAGUUUCGGAGUUAGGUGGAUGACUUGUUAGGUUACUUGAUUAUACCCUGACUGGAGACUAAUGAUUCUGGAUACGAUGACACUCGAACAGAACUUGAAUGCUUGAACCACUACAAGGUGCUUCAGAAGAUAGGACAAGAAGUUGAGCGUAUGAAUAAGUUCCUCCGGUGUUAGCGACUUGGAUCAUUACAAGGUGUUGUCUUUCCCUCACAUCAACAUAUAGGGUAUGCCCCCUUAUCUCCUUUAUUAUUGACUGUAGAAUCCGUAGCGGGAAGGAAAUCCGUGUAGUAUCUGAAUUGUACCCAUGGGUCAGGGGGGUAACUAAUGUUGUCGUAUCUGACUCAAACUAUUGCUAUGGCUUUAGGCUCAUUAAUCUAAACGUAUCUGACUCAAACUAUUGCUAUGGCUUUAGGCUCAUUAAUUGGAAUAAGGGGGUAAAGGGGUCGGGGAAGUCAAUCUCUCUCUCUUGCCUUAGGAUAGUAAGCUAGGGUACUGCUCCCUCGAAAACUCCGGGUUGUAAAUGGAACUCGCGUUAGGAGUUCGCUGCGAUGUUGCUUAUUUGCUUGUUCAGUGGGUUUACUGAAUUCUAGAACACAUGAUGCGCACUUAUGACUUGAAACUUGAGGGAUACUUUACUUGAGACUGCUUGAGCAACCAUUAACAAGCCAGUGUGUUCCGUGUCAAGUAAGAAAAGAAUCAUAAAGAAGACUCACUCACUAAAGCACCACGCCUCGCUCACUUACGCUCUUGCUUGUUCCAGCAAUGGAAUAUAGUGGGCAUCUUAUAUAAUGGGGAAACCGAACUCCUGACUUGAAAGAGGAAGAAGUCAUAUCGGCACCCCUAACGUUAACACUAAAAUCACUCGCUACCGGAGUUUCACCUUUUCUCACAACACUCAAAAACUCACGGAUUUUCUAUUCCUACUCGAUCGGGCCACUUACUUAUUACUUGUUCUCAUUACUGUGAGAAGCUAGAGGAAACCGAACCCUAUACACUUUAAGGAAGGACAUAGGCAUAGCACUAUAAGAUAAGGACAGAGGUACCGUUAAGGACAUAGGCAUAGCACUAUAAGAUAAGGACAGAGAGGCACCGUUACUCUAAACAAAUUGAACAAAAAACGACUCAUGAACAAGCAAGGUUAGCGAGUGAGACCUAUAGUAUAGAAAAAUCCGGGUAAUCUUACAAACACAUUCUAUACAAUUUAGCAUUAGGAGAGUUUGCAUUGUUUAAGCCAAGUGAAAGAAAGCGCUCGGGUUUGAUUGAUCCAGUUAGGUUACAAAUCCUUCUAUUAUAUGUGAGCAGUGAUUUCACCUUCUUUAUAUGCUAAAUCAUAUCCAUAAGCUGCGAUUUCACCUUCCAUAUGUUUCACAAAAGCAAGAGAUUUCUCAUCUUGUCGACGCUGAGCGGAUUCGAAAGUGUUCCCUGGAAAGCGGAAAGUCAGCGUUAACCAGCUCCAGGCCUGCUCUACAGAAUCAGAAUGUAUUUCCUACUGCAAGAGAUCGGGCUCACCCUUGCGCUGCGCUACCUAGCUAACAAUCACAAAGGUUACAGCUAUCGGGUGGACUUAACGACUCUCA
rnacentral:lncRNA from 1 species